rnacentral:lncRNA from 1 species
GAAGGGUGCGAUGUGCGGAUGGUUUUGCUUUGCUUUCUUUCUUAAAGAGAGAGAGAGAGAGAGCGCUGAUUGAGGUGGUAAUUAGAAGAAAAGUAAAUAUUUUUAUGGUUAAACAUGUGAUUUAUAACUUACUCUUUAAUAGUUAUUUUGCACCAGAGAAUUUCUGGUUCAAUUCGUACACAAAAAUAUUUAUUCGUCUUCUGGGCAGGGAGCUUUAACUGGAACACUAAAGAGAGAGGUGGUUUGGAAGUUGUCAGGGACCAUGAAAGAUUCACCAUUUCCUGUUUAGAAUAAGGACAAAAAUUAAACAUCACAAACCAAAUCGAAAAAGAAAACGCAAAAAGAGUCUUACCUUCUUUUAAGCCUUCUCCACAUCAGAUAAAGCUUGAAUUGAACAUUGUCCAGGAAUUGGAAAUAUACAUGUCUCCACGUCCUCUUGAGAAGCAAAGGGCAACAAAAUCCCAAGAACCCUACAACGAAACCAAGCGCGACGGGUAACCCAACACAUAGACUUUGAUCCUCAUCGUCGUCCAAAUCCUGGUCGUUCUCAUUCUCAUCUGCAUCAUUGCCAUUACUUGACAAGCACUGGUUUGGAAGUGGGGUGCCGCAAAGUUUUGGAUUCCCUUCGAAAGCAGAGGCAUCGAAACCUUGGAGCUGAGUGCCGGCUGGUAUUCGUCCUUCAAGAUUAUUGUACGCAACAGUAAACGUAGACAAGAAAUGGAGACUUGAUAGUGAUGAUGGGAUUUCACCUGACAGACGGUUGUUGUUGAGUUUUAAUCUCUCCAACUCUGUGAGGUUGGAUAUUUGGUCUGGAAUGUUGCCGGAGAAGUUGUUGAUGCUUAGAUCCAAUUGUUGAAGAUAUCGCAAUUGGCCAAUCUCAAAGGGUAUGCUGCCACUUAAACUGUUGUUCCUGAGGGAGAUUACUCUUGGCAUGUUGGCAACAUAUUUGUACUGUAAAUUAUUACCGGGUUUGAAGUAGACGGACAAUUCAAGAGAACAAUGGCCCGUUUGAUUCGCAGGCUUUUGCAAUACUAACGCUUGUAGUCCGCAAAGCUCCCUUGGAAAUUCACCCGAAAUCAAGUUGUCAUUCAACAACAAAAAGAAAAGACUCGGAAGAGUCCCCAACCAACCAGGUAUUGUGCCAGUGAGUCUGUUAGACGACAAAUCUAGGACUUCCAGUUUCCUGAACUUUGAAAUCCAUGCAGGUAUUUGACCUGUCAUAUGGCAGCUAUAUAAACUGAAAACACACAGAUUUUGUAACCUGAAAUCGACAGUUAUAUCUCCAUCUGGCAUUUCUUCACCUCGAAAAUUUUCUGAAAGAAGGAGCACCCUGAGACUUUUGAAACGCAUAAAUAUCUUCAUUGCCCCGUGACAUUGGCGAGUCUGUUAUGAAAAAACGAGAGGAAGGUCAAGUUUUUCAAUUGAAGAAUCUCAGGUUGGAUUUGUCCCUCGAAAUCAUUUGCACCCAGUCGAAGUGCUUUGAGGGACUUGCAUGAGUAAAUGCUUAUUGGCAAGACACCAGUGAGUGCAUUAUUUAUAAAAUCUAGCUUACUAAGAUGAGUAAGUUUAGAGAAAUCGAGCCCAGAGAUAUUCCCACUAAAACGGUUGAAUCCCAGAUUUAUUUCAACAAGGUUUGUGCAAUUCAUCAAAGAUGGGGGCAGAGGACCUUCUAGAUUGUUGUAAUGAAGGUGCAUGAGCUUUAAUUUGGAGAACUUCCCAACAUUCUCACCGAUGGGUCCGAAAAGGCUAUUAGUAGAUAAUGAAAUUUCUUGAAGGGCCUGAGCAUUGUAGAUAUCAGCAGGAAGGGACCCUGAGAGAGUGUUUUCGCGAGCACGAAAGACCUCCAAUUCGGAACAGUUUCCUAGUCCUAGAGGAAUUGAGCCACUGAAAUUAUUGUGGGAGAAAUCCAAGACUUUAAGCGAAAAGGAAAGAAGACAGAUAGAGGAUGGUAUUUGGCCUGUAAAAUGAUUAUUGCUGACAUUAAAACUGCUCAAAUUCCAGGCAUGCUGGAGGAAUGAAGAUGGAAUUGUUCCGUUAAACUGAUUGCUGGAUAAAUCCACCAUUUGGAUAUUACUUGAUGAUAGAGAUGAUGGUAGUUUUCCGGAUAAAUGGUUUUCGCUCAAAUCAAGGAUCUGAAGGCGAGUCAAGGACAAAAAAAAUUGAGCCUCAAGAGGACCGGAAAGCAUAUUGUGGGAGAGGUUGAGAUGCGAAAGAUGUGUGAGGUUUCCAAGAAAGCGAGACAUGCAACCUUUGAUACCUUUGGAGGGCAACAACAAAUGAGUUACCCUACCAAACAUAUCGCAAGUGAUGCCCUCCCAUCGGCAACAAUCGUUGGAAGACCAGUUUAAACUAGAAGUACCAAUAUCAAAUGAAGAACGAAGAGAGUGUUGAUCAAUUUUUUGGCAUGCGGGGGUUGUAGCAAAGAAACUUGAGAUGAAAAAUAUGAAGAGGAGGCCAUACGAAAUUUGAAGUGCCAUGUCUGUAUAUUUGAUUGCUCACAAGUUUGUUAUAUAUAACACACUGAUUUGUUUAGAAUUAAAGGGCUAGAAUCAACAUCGAAACAUGAAUCACGCUUUUUGGCAGAUGCAUGCAUGUGAAGAAUAUUAAGCACAUGAGUUGUACUAUGUACUUGUAUUAUUGUAUAUGAUUCAUGUUGAGAGCUGAUAGAUCCACCCCAUAAUCCUAUUUCUUCACUCACCUUAUAUUUUCAUCCCGUAUAAAGAAAUUAAAAAAUAAACACACUAUUUUCUCACCCAUUAAUAUUCCUAAAAUGUCCUUGCAUUAAUUUAACUUUUUACUAAAAAAUAAAAUAAAUAAAAACUGAGAAUAAGAAAGCCACCCUCCCACCCGAGCCUGACACCACCAAACCCAACUCGACGACAACCUCUUUCACUGCCAGCCGACCUUUUCUCUCUAUGGAAAUUUGGAGGAGAAAACAUUAACUAGCAACAACAUCCUCGAUGGAAUUGUAAUUGUUCACAGACCGACAAUGACGAUUUCAGUUGAAUUGAGUUUGAUUGAGAUGGAGAAAGAAAAAUGAUUAGGGUUGCAGAAAAAAGAGGAUGGCUGCAGUAAGAAGUCAAUUUGGUUUGGGAGUGGCUCUGGCUUGUGGUUUUGGGGGUGGGGGGAAGGGGUUGCUGGGAUAUUCCCUUUUCAUCUAAUUUUCAGUUUUGUUUGCUUCCAAUUUUAACAUUGAUUGGAUGCAUGGCUCGAGCUUGUAAUAUUCUUCUCGGAUGGGAUUGUUCAUGGCUUCUCAUAUUCUUCUCCGAUAGGAUUGUUCAUGGCUUCUCAUAUUCUUCUUCAGAAAUAAAACAUUGUUCUUUCACUUUUAUUUUUAUUUUUUUUAGCUAAAAAAACAAAUUAGGGUUCAUUUUUAUUAGGGUUUUAAAAGUCAUUUCACAAAUGGUCAAAUAUGACAUUAAAUUUAUUAUUAAAAAGUGGGUGUGAAAAGAGAGUUGAGGGGUGGGUAUAACACCACUCUUCAUGUUGCCUAGCUUAUUUGCCUACCGGCCGUUGCUAGUGAAAAACGAUUUUAGCCUUUAAGUUCCCACACUAAAUCUAAUUAGUUCCGAUGUGGUACUAGUCAUCACAUCCUCUUUGUCGGUCGUGUUGUAAUGCUGAGUUCUUUCAUGGUCAAUCACUCUCCGCAUUGCCAGUUGAUUUUGGAAUUGGAACCUCAUAUUUCUUCAGUCAUGAGGAGCUACACGACUAAGGAGUAACAUCAUGUUGCUUGGGCUUCAGAAUUGUCAACAAUACCAAGUUUUCCACAGCCACUUUGGACUAUGACUCAAAAGCACUUUCAUAAUUCACACUUGGAACAAAACGUGUUCUGAUACAUUCAUCCCCAAUUUAAAUUAUAUUUUCACUAAGUUUGAGUAUAUCUUGCUUUUAAAUUGGUUUUGGGGUCUUAAAUGGUGUGCCCAAGAAACCCACCCCCUGUUUUGUCCUCCGGUUCCUUUCCCCUUUUCUUUCUUUUUUUGAUUUUUAUAACUCUCUCUUCUCUUUCUCUCCCUCUUCUUCUUCUCUCCCUUAUCUUUCUCUCGUGCCCUCUCCCUCUACAACUCUUCAUCCCCUCUCUGAAAAUCACACCCAGAUACCAUCCCAGCCACCAAACACUAGACCUUGGACCUCGAAACCACAAGCAAAACUAGGAACUCCACCGUGACAGUCACGGUCUCCCUAGAUGAAACCGACGGUUUUCGAGCCAACUUCCGGCCAAACUAUGGUGAUUUGGCCGGCGUGCAAGGUAUCAAUCUCUUUGUCUCGCUGAGUACUAUAACUUUCCUUUUUGUUUCACCCAAUUUCGUUAAGUAUUGAAGAAGUUAUACUCAUUUGAAUCUUACCCAGUUUCCGGCGACCGUCGAGUCUUUCGACGCAAUUUCUUGCCAAACCACAGAGAGUUAGACGUCGUGCGAGGUACCAUUCUCUUCGUCUCUUCGAGAAUUACAACUUUUGUUCUUGUUUCACUUGAUUUCGUUGAGUUUUGGCAAAGUUAUGGCCGUUUAAAGGUUGUGCAGUUUCCAUCCGAUUUCUGGCUUUCUCUUCCAUUGGGUCCAGCGACCCACCAAACCCAAGGCCCUUGGGCCUUCCCUGCCGAGCCCAACCCUUUUGGUUGUGAGGCCUUUGGGCCGUGAGUGUUGUGUGUGUGUGUUGCGUGAGUGUGUUGUGUGUGUAUGUGCUGUGUGAGUGUGUGUUGUGUGUAUGUGUGUAUGUGUGUAUACGUGUACCUACAACUUUUGUUCUUGUUUCACUUGAUUUCGUUGAGUUUUGGCAAAGUUAUGGCCAUUUAAAGGUUGUGCAGUUUCCAACCGAUUUCUGGCUUUCUCUUCCAUUGGGUCCGGCGACCCACCAAACCCAAGGCCCUUGGGCCUUCCCUGCCGAGCCCAACCCUUUUGGUUGUGAGGCCUUUGGGCCGUGAGUGUUGUGUGUGUGUGAUGCGUGAGUGUGUUGUGUGUGUAUGUGCUGUGUGUAUAUGUGCUGUGUGUGUAUGUGAUGUGUGUGUGUGUGUUGUGUGAGUGUGUGUUGUGUGUAUGUGUGUAUACGUGUACCGUGUGGGUGUGUGUAUGAGUGUGUGUGGUGCACGUGUGUGUUGUGUAUUUGUGUGUGUGUGUGUGUGUGUGAGUGUGUGGUGCACGUGAGUGUGGUGUACGUGUGUGUGUGGGUUUGGGCCUAAGCCCAAACCACCCUUUUUCACCCUAACCCUUUUUAACCAAGAACCUUCAGACCCUAAACCCAAAACCCCUUCUUAGCGUAAUUCGACGUCACCUCUUUAUAGUAUAGAUGAUAGAUGACUUUAUACUAUGAAGUUGUUUUUCAAUAUAUAUAUAUAUAUAUAUAUAUAUAUAUAUAUAUAUAUGUUCAAUGGUUUUGUACUUACCUAGUGGUCCUUUCUACUAUGGGACGUACGGAUAGAUUCCGGUCCGUCCCGGGCGACGGUUUGGUGCUGGCAUAGGGCUUGGAAGGUGUUUCCGCUGGCAUUUAAGACGGGGGGCGGGGAGCCGGCAAGGGGCCUGAAGUCUAUUUUCCUCUGACUGGCAUGGGGUUAGGGGUUAUCAGACAAUUCACUAGUGAUUAUUAUAUAUACAAGUUAUGAUUUGAGACAUUGCACGACAUGCUAGGUUUCGGAAAACCUAUGUUUAUCAUUAUAUAUAUGUUUUCAUAAAACCUAGGGGUUAGUACGUUGAUAACUGUUUUAUUAUAUGUAUAUCAAAUUAGUCCAUUCAUGUUUGUUUUGCGCCCCCUUCAGGACUUAGAAUCGAGGCAUACAAUCCCAACAUCCAGGCACUUCUGCAUCGGCAUCUUCGAGUCCUCUCGGUGUAGGACCCACUCCUUAUUAUUUCCUUUAGUGUUCUAGUUAGUUGUAUGCUCUGAACACGUUCCUGAAAUGCAUAUUCAUUAGUCUUUUAUACUUAUAAGUCUUAUUUACUCCUUAUUCUCAGCAAUUGCAUUAAAUAAAUGACUUUCGUCACCCUUAGGUGUCGGUCAGCACGUGCUUAUCCUAGUAUUUGGGGAAUAUCGGGAUCGGAACGUGUCAUGUUCUGCACUGAUUUUUACAAUUUUAAAUGAAACAAAUUAAUUAAUUGAAUUAAAUUAUUGCUUUGUCCAUUUGCCUAAAAUUUAAGUCCUCUUUAGCUUGUCAAUUAAACAAGAAAUUAAGCCCUCGAACAAGAAAAUAGAAAAGAAGAAAUAAUUGUGGUGGGCCACAUUUAGGACAAGUUCCCAAACUUCUUUGUGAGCAUGUUGAGAGUUUUGUGAUGGUUGGAUUUCAAAAAAUUGAGGGUGGAUUAUUUAUAUUAAUCAUUUGUAUUAAUAAUGAUUAAUAUCGUGAUUUCAUAUAGGAGAGACUUAUUUUGAGGCUAGACACGGCAAGAUAAUUACGAUUCAAGAACGUAUUAGUGAGUGGGUUUUUAGGUUCAACCUAUACACGAGAUAUAUGAUUUUCGAAUGGGUUUUUAUGAAAUAUCAUGUUAUCAUGACAAUGUUUUACUCAACGAAUGCAAAUAUUUUAGGGGCAUUUAGAUUUUAGGGCUUCAAUAAGAUUGUUUUUAUAUUUUAAUCUAAAUAGUUUUCAAAAUCUAAUAUAAGUCCCUAUUUUUAAAACUUACCAUAUUUAAGUAGUUAUAGCACAUUUAUUAUUUAACUUACCAUUUGAAAUUCUUUACCCAUCCAUAAUUAAUGUUUUUAUUUAUUUAUUUUGUGGUCUAAUCAUAUUAAUAGAUAAAAAUUUAUUCAAAAUUCAAAUUCUUAUUAUUAAAAAAAAAUCAACAACAAAACAAAAACAAUUAUACAUAACCUUCAGUACCUUAUUUUAUUCAUAGGUACGAAAGUAUCGGUAUGAAUGUAUCGGUACAUAACUUUAGGUAUCUUAUUUUACUCAUAGAUACAGAAGUAUCGGUUUGUAAGUUUCGGUACGAAUGUAUCGGGACAAAUAUGUCGGUUCAAAUGUAUCUGUGAACACGGAAAAUUCCUGAAACGAAAGAGACAAGAACAACGUGCACAAACAAAUAUUAAGUAUUUGAUGAUUUUGGGUUACAAUCUCUCUCUAUUUUGAUCCUCUGAUUCGAUCUCCGUAAGGUAUUGAUUUGUGGAUGUUUCCUUGAUCCAAGGGCCGUCGAGGCUUGAUCUUGGAUGAACUAUUGGAAGUUUCUUCAAGGGGCCGUGGGCUUGAUCUUUGAAGGUGGAUUUGAGCGGAUCUUCAAAGGGGCUUUUGGGCUUGAUCUUUGAAGAACAGUGACGAACGGAUCUCCAAGGGCUUUUGGGCUUGAUCUUGAAGAACAGUGAUGAACGGAUCUUCAAGGGCUUUUGGGCUUGAUCUUGAAGAACGGUUGGAUGUGUGGAUUUGUCGACGUUGUUGAUCCAAAGGGCCGUUGGGGCUUGAUCUUGGAUGAACGGAUGAUGAACGAUGGUGCUUUCUUUCAAGGGCCGUCGGGGCUUGAUCUUGAAUUGGUAGAUGAUUGUUGAUCCAAGGGGCCGUUGGGGCUUGAUCUUGGAAGAACGAUGAACGAAGAACGAGGAACACUUUCUUCAAGGGCCGUCGGGGCUUGAUCUUGAAUUGGUGGAUGAUUGUUGAUCCAAAGGGCCGUUGGGGCUUGAUCUUGGAAGAACGAUGAACGAAGAACACUUUCUUCAAGGGCCGUCGGGGCUUGAUCUUGGAAGAACGAUGAACGAAGAACGAAGAAGGCUUUCUUGAUUCUUCGGGAACCUGGAUGCUUGAGAGCUUCGGAGUUUCAGAGCUUCAGAGCUUCAAGGUGUAAUAUGAAUUCCCCCUCAAAAUGAAUGAAAUGGGCUUGUAUUUAUAGAAUUUUCCAAUGCCUAAUUUUGAAUAUAAUAUCCCAGAUGAAAUAAGUCGUUUCUGCCAGGUGUUGACACGUGUCCUAUUUGAUGACUUUUCCAACUCAUUUCAAUUUUCGUUGAGUCACACGCUACGUGUAAAAUUUAUGUAAUACAUGAGCGUUGACACUUUGAUUUAUCAGUCAACAUUUAUUUACAAAAUUUCGAUGUCUACAAAUGCCCCCACUUCAAGGCACGUCGUAUACAUGUGCUUGUCACGUGUAGGAGAUGCGUUUUGAAGUCCCUUACUGUAGAUGUCGAUCCAAGGGCCGUCGAGGCUUGAUCUUGAAUUGGGCUGGAGAUUUCUUCAAGGGCCGUUGAGGCUUGAUCUUGAAUUGGGCUUGAGAUUUCUGGAUUCCUCCAAUUGUUGAUUUUCCACAGCUUAUUCUUGAACUAGGUUUUGAUUCAAGGGUGGUAGACACUUAAUCUUGAAUCGGACUUGUGAUUUCUUCCAGGGCCGUCGAGGCUUGAUCUUUGAAGGUUUGGCUGGAAGCUUCUUCAAGGGCCGUUGAGGCUUGAUUCUUGAAGGCUGACUCGAACACAUGGCAAGCAGGCCCGAGGUGAAGGUGACGACUUGUUGCUUUGUUCAAUCUUUCUAAUUCACACCUGAGCAGUUUGGUCAACGGUAUGAUCUUCGAGAUUGAUGGGCUCCUCUUCCAAUUGGUGACUUGGUCUUUAAGGAUUUGAUUCAAGGGUGGUGAAUCGGCACGUGCAGCCCACAACGCCUAGUAAGUCGACCCAAGAAUUUGAGGGUCAAAACGAGUUCACCGUCCUCAGGCAGAUGCGGCAUCUUCUCGAGUUCUUCAUCUCAGACUCUUUCUGCUGAGUUAACUGUGCAUGCUGCAUUCUUCUCUGCUUGUUUCUUUAGGCAGAUGUGGCAGCUUCUCGAGUUCCUCAAUUCGGACUCCUUCUGCUGAGUUGAUCGUGCAGACCGCAUUCUUCUCUGCUUGUUCCUUCUGCACCUUGUCUCCACAUGCUGCAAGGUAUCAUUUUCACUUGCCUUAUCUGUCCUCCAAGGCAGAUGUGGCAGCUUCUUUGAAAGUACAGCAGCAGUGGAAGGCGAGUACUCGAGAGCAGUGCUAGGUAGGCAAUCAGGGAAGGGUUCCAAGCGGUCGAUUCCUUACCCGAGUUUGAGUGGAAGUUCCGGCAUAUUGUUUUCUUUAUCCUUGUCUUUGUAGGUAAGAACAAAGAUAAAGGAAAGGACAGGGAGAACACAUGAUAUGAGAUACUCUUGCCUUCUACCCUGGUGAUAUGAGAUACUUUUGCUUUGGAGUCAUUGGCUUGCAGAGGUACCCCAAAGAAUAAGGAACACUGAAUGACUCGAGAGGUUUCGUUGGGAAAGCAUUUUUUGGAGAUGAAGAAAGGCUCUGUAUGUCUGCCUUGCUAUGGAAGGUGAAGGUGGACAGUUAUAGGAGGUCCCUUAAUACCUGUAGAGGUAUUAUUCUUUCACUCGUGUCGGCAACUAAGGCGUGAUUGAACAGUAAACUUCACGUGCUUUCUCCUUCACCGAAAAUCUUCGACAAAUUGCCCGUGAUUUGCGCAAAGUUGAGUGUGCAUAUGACAGGUGAUGACGCGGCUGAAAAAGACUGGCGCCUCUUCGAUAUCUGGGAUCGGCGCUUCGACAAAUUACCCGUGAUUUCCGCAAAGCUGAGUUUGCGCGUGACGGGUGCUGACAAGGCUGAAAAAGACUGGCGCCUCUUCGAUAUCUGGGAUUGGCUUUAACAAAUUACCCGUGAUUUCCGCAAAGCUGAGUUUGCAUGUGACGGGUGCUAACGCGUCUGGAAAAGCAAGAUGCUUCUCCGAUUUCUGAGCUUGCCUCUUCGAUUUUUGAAUCGGCAUUUUCGAACUCUGAGCUCACCUCUUCGAUCUCUGAAAUGCCGUCGAGUGUUGAUUUUAUAGAGGCACGCAGUUCGUUUCAAAGCACACUUCGCUUGUGAAAACUCCCCUCUUGUACUUCUAAGAUCUUGAUUUGUCUGAUCUCUUCUUCCUUCAACACUUUGAAAAUGUCUGGACCCUCCGAUCGUCGUUUUGACUUGAAUCUUGGUGAAGAGGCAGUCCCGCCUUCUCCAGACAACAUAUGGCGCCCAUCCUUCAUAUCCCCUACUGGUCCUCUUACCGUUGGGGAUUCGGUGAUGAAAAAUGAUAUGACCGCUGCGGUGGUGGCCCGGAACCUUGUCACUCCCCCAGAGAUAACAGACUACUUUCCAAACGGUCUGAUGAGUUGGCUGUUAAGGAUUCUCUGGCUCUCAGUGUGCAGUGUGCAGGUUCUGUGUCUAAUAUGGCCCAACGCCUAUUUGCUCGAACCCGUCAAGUUGAAUCAUUGGCGGCUGAAGUGAUGAGUCUCAAACAGGAGAUUAGAGGGCUCAAGCAGGAGAAUAAACAGUUGCACAAGCUUGCACACAACUAUGCCACAAACAUGAAGAGGAAAAUUGACCAGAUGCAGGAAUCUGAUGGUCAGAUUUUACUUGAUCAUCGGAGGUUUGUGGGUUUGUUCCAGCAGCAUUUACCUUCGUCUUCUGGGGCUGUACCGACUGCUGAGGCUUCAAACAGCCAACCUCCGACGCCUUCUCUUCCUGGAGCUCUGCCGAGUUGUGAGGCGCCACCUGAUCGUCCUUGAAUAUCCCCUCUUGUAAAUUUGAUUUGAUUUUUUUAUUUUUUUUUUUAUUUUAUUUUUUUUUUUUAAGGUAUGCAUAAUGCAAAUUUGUGUAAAAUUUCCAGAGAAAAAAAAAAUAAAUAAAUAAAAUGGACUUUAUUUCUCUCGAUGCAUUUUUUUUUGUUGCUAUAUACAUACAUAUAUUAUGUACAUACACACCGCAUUAUCAUAACUUCAUUUUCUUUUCUUUUCUUUUUCUUUUUUUUUUUUUUUUUUUUUUUUUUUUAAAUAAAUAUAUAUAUAUAUAUUUUUUUUUUCUUUCUUUUUCUGCACAUGGUGCCAGACGCACCAUGAAACCCCUUUUUUUUAUUUUAUUUUUUUUUAUUUUAUUUUUUAAUUCCUUCUUUCUUCUUUUUUUUUUCACGUGUAGCUGAUCCACCACUUUUUUCUCUUUUCAAAAUGGUGCUCAUGCCAUUCUCCUUUUUUCACGUGGUGCCAGCACCGUAAGAUUCCAUUCUCCUUUUUUUUUUUUUUUUUUUUUUUUGUAUAAAUUUCGGUGAUCUUCACUGCACUACCGUAGCAUGUUCACUAAUGGUUGACUUUAGCGGCGGGGAGGGCGGUGCCCUUGGUGAUGUUCAAGACGACGCCGAGUUGAGCACUGCUUUUGAAGGUCUCACAGAGGCAGGAAGCGUCGGCUUUGAGCACAGUCUUGAGGCCACUGCAGCAAGUCUUUGCCAGCUUCGUGUCCGUGUUCCCAUUCGACACAAAUGACAAGCAGUCCGCCAUGUUCAAGAUCAGGCUCGAGCAGUCCACCGCAGGAACCGGCGCCGCGCAGUCCCCAAGUCCAAACGACAGCACCGCCAUCACCAUCACCACAGUGCUCAUCCAAACCCUCGUUGCUGCUCCCAUUUUUUUUGUUUUUUUUUUGUGGGAUUGUGAUAACUCAAGAAGGAAUGAUGGCACCAAGUAGGAAGUGGGUUGGUGAGACAACAGACUUCGCGGAGAGAUUAUUGCAGUCGUGUUCGCCAUUGCAGAUGACUCCAGGCCAGGUGCAGAUCGAAACAGACUCAUUCCAUUGGACCCGGUUCGCGUGUGGGGUGUGGGUGUGCGGACGAGUCGGUCGAGCUCGCGGAGAGCAGAGAUGUCGAGAUUGAGGCGUCGGGUGAGGAGUUUGUUUUGUUUGCUCCGUGCACAAAAGCUGCUGCAAGGGAUUCCUGCGCUUCGCCGCCUCGUCGCUGAAGUUCUCCGACGGAGGCAGGCCCAACUCGUCGUCCGAAGCUUCUAGCAGGUAUCCAAGGUCGGGAUUUGACUCGCCGGACUCUGACGUCAGGUCAACCACCAGCACCGAAGCUGGAUCGGUCUCCGACUCUUGCUCCGUAUCCGAUGCCGGACGUGGCGACGACUGACAAGAAUUUGUUGCGGCAGCUACCUCUUCCUCGAAGCUCUCAUGACGGAGUCGAGGUCCUGAGUCGUGGGAUCGGCGUCCGAGUCGUCGAGAAAAACCCAGAAGGUCUUCCCUGAGCCGCUUCACCUCGGCCGAGUCGUCCGAGUUGUCUCGGACCCGCUUCUUGUUCUUUGAGGUGUGGUCCUCCAUGUUUGAAAUAAUACCAAUCGCAAGAGAGAGAGGAGAGUUUUUUUUUUCAGAUGAAGCGUGGGGAUGUCGUGCUCUCUCUGGGAGAAACCAUGGAGAUUUGGGCAUGGUCCUUGCUGUUGCAGGCGGAAGGGAGGAAAAGACCCGUGCUUGAUGGGCUUCAAGAGCCUGACGGCGAUAUCUAAACCAUUGUUGGCCCAAAAAAACAUUGUUGUGGUGGAUUGGGGCAGCAGAGGUAUGGUGCAGGAUCUCUUUGGGCUUCGAUAAGGGCCUGGGCUGCACGGGCUUGGAUCCACGCGCUGUGGGCUGAGAAUGGAACUUAUAUAUAUAUAUAUAUAUAUUAUAUAUAUAUAUAUAUAUUUUUUUUUAUUAUAUAUUUUUUUUUUUUUUUUUGUUGAAGAAACUGUUUCAUUCAUUUUUUUUUAAAUAGUACACAUUAUGACAUAUGUAUUUACUUAUUUAACAUAACACAUUCUAACAUAUGUAUUUACUUAUUUAACAUAACACAUUCUAACAUAUGUAUUUACUUAUUUAACAUUUAUUUAUUUAUUUUACUAACACAUUAUGACAUAUGUAUUUACUUAUUUAACAUAACACAUUCUAACAUAUGUAUUUACUUAUCUAACAUAACACACACAUAUAUACAUAUAUAUAUAUAUGCCUUUCAGCGCGUCACUUUUACCGUGUGGGGUUGUGCAAGAGACUGCAGCGGGGAUUUGCUAUGUAGCACUCGAGGCAGAAUGUAAGGUGGCAAGCUUCAUGAUCGGCUAGUCGUUUGACGGCGGUCAUUGAAGUCUCUUCGUCGAUUGGAGCAUGGUGGCCAGAGUGACGAAGCUGGUGUUGACGGCCUUGCUACUUGCCCUUGCCGCUUGGAGCUUGAGGCAGAAUGUAAAGCGUCGAGCUUCAUGACUGGCUAGUCGUUUGACGGCGGUCAUUGAAGUCUCUUCGUCGAUUGGAGCAUGGUGGCCAGAGUGACGAAGCUGGUGUUGACGGCCUUGCUACUUGCCCUUGCCGCUUGGAGCUUGAGGCAGAAUGUAAAGCGUCGAGCUUCAUGACCGGCUAGUCGUUUGACGGCGGUUAUUGAAGUUUCUUCGUCAUUUGAAGCAUGGUGGCCAGAGUGACGAAGCUGGUGUUGACGGCCUUGCUACUUGCCCUUGCCCCUUGGAGCUUGAGGCAGAAUGUAAAGCGUCGAGCUUCAUGACCGGCUAGUCGUUUAACGGCGGUUAUUGAAGUUUCUUCGUCAUUUGAAGCAUGGUGGCCAGAGUGACGAAGCUGGUGUUGACGGCCUUGCUACUUGCCCUUGCCGCUUGGAGCUUGAGGCAGAAUGUAAAACGUCGAGCUUCAUGACCGGCUAGUCGUUUGACGGCGGUCAUUGAAGUUUCUUCGUCGUUUGAAGCAUGGUGGCUAGAGUGACGAAGCUGGUAUUGACGGCCUUGCUACUUGCCCUUGCCGCUUGGAGCUUGAGGCAGAAUGUAAAGCGUCGAGCUUCAUGACCGGCUAGUCGUUUGACGGCGGUUAUUGAAGUUUCUUCGUCAUUUGAAGCAUGGUGGCCAGAGUGACGAAGCUGGUGUUGACGGCCUUGCUACUUGCCCUUGCCGCUUGGAGCUUGAGGCAGAAUGUAAAACGUCAAGCUUCAUGACCGGCUAGUCGUUUGACGGCGGUCAUUGAAGUUUCUUCGUCGUUUGAAGCAUGGUGGCCAGAAUGCACUGUUGUUGCUGCUUGGAGCUCGUUCCAGUACGUCACUUUUACCGUGUGGGGUUAUGCAAAAGACUGCAGCGAGUUUAUGCUGUGUAGUGCCUUUUGUUGCAACUUUCCUCGGAGGUGCCGUCGCCGUGCACACCGACCAUGCCGCCUGCCAUCUCAUUCCUUUAAAGAAAUAAAGUAUCCGUAUUUUGGAUUUGCUCUUUAUUCUUCAAAGUGUUUGUGUUUUUAUUGAUGAUGUGACUGUACUUGAAGUUUUGAAGUUUCAAGUUGCCUACGUACCCUCGAUUGAGGAGGGAUCAAGUCAUGACGUAGUUCAAAUACAUUUUUUUUUUGUUUGCAGUUUCAGCUCGUGCAGACCAGGAGCGUUGUGCCAUGCAGUUUAGGCUCGUGCAGGCGAGGAGCUUCGUGUCCUACAGUUUAGGCUCGUGCGGACAAGGAGCUUGGGUGUUGCCUUUCAGGGGUAGUAGCGCUUCAAGAAUCUGCCGUUGAUAGGGCCGAUCUUCAAGCCGUCUUCCGCCAUGAUUAAGUAGGCGCCAUUGGUGUAGACUUCUUGUACUACGUAUGGUCCAUCCCAUUUUGACGUGAACUUGCUCUUUGUCUUGUGAGUUGUGAUGAUAGGCCUACGCAAUGAAAGGACGAGAUCUCCCAUUUGAAAAGACCGAGGGAGAACUUUCUUGUUGAAGGCUUUAGACAGUCGCGCUUGAUAACACUCCAGGUGUUGCUGGGCUUCGAGUCUUUUCUCAUCCAGCGCCUCCAGUUCUUGAAGACGCAACUUUGCAUUCUCUUCGUCAGUCAAGCCUUCUUGUAUAGCCAUCCUUAGCGAGGGGAUUUGACUUUCGAGUGGUAGAACAGCUUCUACGCCAUAUACAAGAGAAUAAGGUGUGGCUUGGGUAGGCGUUCUAUAUGUUGUCCUGUAUGCCCAUAGGGCUUCGCCUAUUCUUUCAUGCCAAUCUUUCUUUGUUCUACCGAUUACCUUCUUCAGGAGGUUGCACAAUGUCUUGUUGAAUGCUUCUGCAAGACCGUUGGCCGGAGCAUGAUACAUGGAGGAUUUGUGCUGCUUGAACUUGUAUUUCUCGCAGAGCUCGUCCAUGAGUCGGUUUGAGAACUGCUUUCCGUUGUCGGUGACAAUGUAACGAGGCACCCCAUAUCGAUGGAUGAUAUGUCCCUUGAUGAAACGGACGACAGUUUCCUUCUUGACUUCCUUUAGGGGUAUGGCCUCAGCCCACUUAGAGAAGUAAUCUGUUGCAGCCAGGAUGUAAGCCUCUCCUAUAGAUGACUUUGGCGCAAUUGGUCCUACGACGUCCAAUCCCCAUGCGUCGAACGGCCAUGAAGUAGCUGUGGGGUGUAAUGGUUCAGGCGGUUGAUGUAUGAAGUUGGCAUGAAAUUGGCAGGCUUGGCACCUUUUGGCGUAUUCUAGGCAGUCCUUUACCAUGCUUGGCCAGUAAUAACCCAUUCUCUUGAGCUGGAAAUGAAGCUUCGGCCCGGACUGGUGCGCUCCACAUAUUCCUGAGUGUGCUUCUUCCAUGGCUUGAUUGGCUUCUUCCUCGCCUAGGCAUCUCAGAAGUACCCCUUCAAACGAUCGCCGGUAGAGUGUCCCUUUGUAAUAGAGGAAGCGAUGUGCUCGUCGACGUAUUUCAGAGCGGUGUUUCGGAUCAUCUGGAAGCAUUCCGUGCUCCAAGUAGUUGAUCAGAGGUUGUCUCCAUUCUUCAACGUUGACCGAAAGUAUUGAAAUAACGUUUGUAUCACUUAAUACCAUUUCGAUGACAAGCGGGAUUACCCACCUUUGGCAGACUGGCACGUUUGUAGCUUCGUCUUCUCCUAAUGUCAUGCUCGAGGCUAGGUUGGCGAGAGCGUCUGCCAUUUGAUUCUCUUUUCUUGGCACGUGUUCUAGUGUUACGGUCUCAAACCUUUGUAGCAACUGCGUUGCCAGCCGGAAGUAUGGGACAAGGUCAUCUUUCCUCACCUCAUAUUCAGUCAGGAGUUGAUUGAUUAUGAGCUUGGAGUCGCCGUAUAUCUCGAGGGCUGCGAUUUCCAUGUUGAUUGCCAUUUGGAGCCCGAGGAUCAGUGCUUGGUACUCAGCGACAUUGUUAGAGCAUAAUUCGCUUAGCUGGAAUGAAUAAGGUAGUAUUUGCCUUUGUGGCGACAUGAAUACUACUCCUGCCCCCGCUCCGUCUGCUCGUGCAGAUCCGUCGAAGAACAUCGUCCAUGUCGGGAAUAUGUCGAUGCAGAACACCUCUUCGUCGGGCAAGUCGUCUGAGAUUUUCCAAUCGGCUGGGAUUGGAUGGUCGGCAAGGAAGUCUGCUAGCGCUUGUCCUUUGACGGCUUUAGCUGGGACGUAGAUGAUCUCGUAUUGAUUGAGAAGUAAUGCCCAUUUAGCUAGUCGCCCUGUCAAAACUGGCUUAGACAUGACGUAUUUGACCGGGUCAGCUUUAGCAACCAAGUGGAUGGUGUAAGCAUGCAUGUAAUGUCUGAGCUUCUGGAUGGCAAACAUCAAGGCCAGGCACAUUUUUUCUAUUGGGGAGUAGUUCAAUUCAGCGCCGGUAAGCGUUCGACUGAGGUAGUAGAGCGCUCCUUCUUUCUGGGCCUCAUUUUCCUGUGCCAAGAGUGCUCCAACUGAACUUUCCUGAGCAGCAAUGUACAAUAUGAGCGGUUUCCCUGGUACAGGUGCCCCCAGGACAGGCGGACUUGAUAAAUACUUCUUUAUGCUUUCAAAAGCAUUGUUGCAUGCUUUGUCCCAUACGAACGGAACAUCUUUCUUCAUGAGUCGACUGAACGGUUGACAACGCCCUGCAAGGUUGGAGAUGAAGCGUCUGAUGAAGGCUAGCCGACCUUGUAGACUUUUCAACUCGUGCAGGUUUCUUGGCUCGGGCAUGCUUUGAAUGGCCUUGAUCUUUGAUUGGUCCACUUCAAUGCCACGAUGCUUGACAAUGAAGCCAAGGAACUUUCCAGAUGUGACGCCAAAUGCACACUUUAAUGGGUUCAUCUUGAGGUUGUAUUUUCGCAACCUUUUGAACACUACUCGCAAAUCCUUCAAGUGAUUUGAUCUUUUCUUUGUCUUGACCACCACAUCGUCUACAUAGCAUUCUACAUUCUUGUGUAGCAUGUCAUUGAAGAUCUUCUGCAUUGCGCGUUGAUAUGUAGCUCCAGCAUUCUUCAGACCAAAGGGCAUCACCUUGUAGCAGUAAAUACCUUUUGGAGUGCGGAAGGCUGUUAGUUCCUCAUCUUCAAGAGCCAUGCGAAUUUGAUUGUAUCCAGAAGAGCCGUCCAUGAAUGAUAGUGCCUCAUGGCCAGUGGUUGCGUCCACCAUGAUCUCAAUGAUUGGCAAGGGGAAGUCAUCCUUUGGGCAAACAUUAUUGAGGUCUCGAAAGUCCACGCAAACACGUAUUUGUCCAGAUUUCUUAAGGACUAUGACGAUGUUGGAGAUCCACUUGGGGUAUUGCACCUCUCGAAUGAAGCCUGCUUCGAUCAACUUGUCAAUCUCGGCCUCGAUUUGUGGGAUGAGCUCGGAUCGAUAGCGUCUUUGAGUUUGCUUUACUGGUCGCGUUCCAGGCUUGACUGCAAGAUGAUGCACAGCAAUGAUAGGGUCGAGGCCGGGCAUUUCCUUGUAGGUCCAAGCAAAGACGUCCUUGAACUAUAAUAGCAGCUGGUAAUACUUCUCUAUCUCGCCUGCACUUAGUAAUGCACUCACGAAGAUAGGCUUCGGUUCCUCACUUGUGCCUAAGUUGAGUUCUUUGAGAUCGUCAACUGUGGCUUGCCCCCCAUCUUCGAGUUGUGACGGUGCUGCAAUGACAUCUUCUUCGAGGCUUUCAUCUUCUUCACCUUCUUGGAUUGUGAUGUGGAAGACGUCUUGGGCUUCUUCUUCGGUGUUAACCUCUCGAGCUAGUUGGCGUGAAGAUUGUCCAGUGUGAAUGAUGGUGCGCCUUUUCACUUUCAGCGAUCCAACUGUGUUAACCUCCAAAAUUGCGUGGCGCUUCAUUCUUGAAGGAAUGGAACUUCGAACGUCAUCCUUUUCUGCUAGGCGAUCGAUCUCUUCUACUUCUGGUGUCGUCUUUCUCAUUUUGGAAGGCUCUUUGGCUUCUCCAAGUCUUUCCAUAACUGACUGUCGUGGAGGAAAGCUAGUCGUAUUGCUUUGCUUUUUAGGUUUUGAUAACCUUUUGAAAACAGAGCCUCGAGAUACUGACGUGUUAAGCCUUUUGAAGACGGAAGUUUUGUUUUGAACGCCAAUGAGUUUAGGUGCCGAAACUCUGGGCUUUGAACGAUUCAUUCUAUCGAAUACUGAUGUCCGGGGGGCAGGUUGAGGCUCCUCUUUAUUUUGUAUAAUGCUUAUGCUGAUGUGUUGAGCGCUAGCAUUUUUUGCCUUGCUGGAGAUCUUCACCGGUGCAUUUGGUGUGAAGCCAAGCCCAGCUUUGUUGUUGCUAACCCCGUAACCAUGCUUCUCCAAUUUCUUCUGAGUUUUAGUGAGAUCACGUUCGUUGUCUUUGACGGUGUUCAAAUCAUUCUUUCCCAAAUUUGCAGAGGAGGUGAAGUUAUACCCAGCUUUCGACAUAAGUUUGUAGGCGUUUGGAUCAAAACCUUCUUCGGUCCUUUUGGUUGGGAGAAAGCUUGGUUCUACCCCCUUUGGCAGGCCUUUUAUGAAGCCCUGUGAUGGUUUUGCAACCUUGGUGUCGCCUAGCUGGGUCAGAGGGAAAACUGCAUUCGUUUUGAGCAACUUUACAUUAUCUACGUGCCGCUGUGCAUCGGCUUUGCUCGCUGCAGUUUCAAACGGGGAUUGACCAUUCUUUCUUCUCGACGUCGGGAUGUACCGGAAGACGGGUACGCUUGGUCCAUUUGAGGUCGUCCUACUUCCUCUGGUUGUUGCAGGUUUAGAAAGUUCAUCGUCGUUUUUGCUUGAAGAUGGCAUAGCUUCUUCUUCUUGCUUCUUGGGCAUAGCUUGCCACUCCUGUUUUUUAGGCGCUGCUUUGCUCAUGGAUUUAAUCUCUUUUGGAAGAGUUUCGGGCACCGUGUCUUCAUUCAUGUAGAACUUGGCGUCUGCGAAAUGUGAUUCAGCUUCGGUGAAUGGCUUGGUGUCGCCAUAGAUCACUUUCACUCGUUCUUGGUAAAAUUUUAAACAUUGGUGAAGGGUGGACGGUACCACUCCGUUCGCAUGGAUCCAAGGCCUUCCUAAGAGCAGACCGUAGGAAGUUCUUGCAUCAAUCACGUGGAACAUCACGCUUGACUUGAGUUCACCAAUGGUCAUCUCCACUCGGAUCAUGCCCAUCGCUCUUUGUCCUCCUUGGUUAAAACCUUGGAUUAGUAGACGGCUUAGGGAUAGUUCAUCCACCUUGAUGCCGAUUGCGGUCAUUGUUGACUUUGGCAUGAUAUUUAUGGCUGACCCGCCGUCCACAAGCAUGCAGCUGACUUUAUGCUCCCUUACGUACCCAGAGACGAAGAGAGGUCGGUUGUGAGGCUUGGAUCCUAGCAACAAGUCUUCGUCGGCGAAGUGGAUUGUGUCCUCGGUGGCACAGCAUGUGGCACACUCGUGUGGCAGAGGCCUCAAGCCUUCGUUCUUGCUUUCUUGCACUUCGUGGUUGUUUGGACUCGCUAAAACCGUUGCCAAUGCCCUUCGUAUCUUCUUUGGCAAUUGUAGCGCUUCCUCGAUGCUAAAGUGUAUUGGCAGACCUUCUUCAGGUGUCGGAGUAUUUUCUCCCUCAGCGACGACAAUUUUGCCCUUUGAGGGUUCUUCCAUUUCUAUUUCGACCACGUGACAUGCGGUGAUAGUACAAUGUUGGAAAAAGUCCUCCGGGAAGUACUCGUGCAAUGAGACGGGAAUGCGUGGCUUUUGCUCCGCAGGUUCCCCAGCAUAUAUUGGCUUAGCAGCUCUUAUGUUUCUCUUAGGCUUCCUAUUGCCGCGACGGCGGUGCUUUCUCCCUUGUUCCCCCUUUUGCUUUAUAGCUUGCGGUUUUGGUUUCCUCGUCCUCUUAUAGGUCACCAAUGUCCAUCCUUUGUCAUCGUCAGUAGGUGCGUCCUGGUUGCUUGCCCCUAGUGACGGUGGUGCAGAAUGUGCAGUGUGGUUUGAGUAUUGCCGAGCAUGGUCAGGCAUUUCUUGAAGAAGCACGGGAUCAAAGGAUCCGAACACGACCGUAGUGGUGUGCGUCGCAGCUGUGUCUUCUAGGUCGAGCUCAAUUCGUCCUUGUUGCGCCAACUUCAUGAUGAGUUCUUUUAGGAUAAAACAUUUGCCCACAUGAUGACCCACGAUACGAUGGUACUUGCAGUAUUUGGGAUCAUUGAUGCGAUUCAUUUCUUCAGGGCGUUUGCAUUCGGGUAACUCAAUCACCUUCUUCUCCAGCAGGUCGUCCAGCAUUGCGUCCAUGUCGGAGUCCGGAAAAGGGUAUACCUUCUGCUCCAAUUCCCUCAAGGUGUUUUUGUACCUAUCUUGGGUGUGGGAAGGCUCACCUUUUUUUAUCUCCCUUGCUUUAUUGAAAGAGAUUUUGACGGGCGCGGACGAGGUCUUGAUAGGGGUGGUAUUGGUGGUAAAAGCUUCCUUGGCGGGCUUUUUCCCAUGAUUGUCUGCUCUUGAAGUGAACACCUUAUCCCUUUUGAAAUCGGUGAUUGGCUCCUUCUUUCCAUGGUGGGCGAUGCUCAACUCCAUGUCGUGGGCACGGGUGGCUAAUUCUUCAAAAGUUUGUGGUUUGAUACCUUGAAGGAUGUAUUGUAAACCCCAUUGCAUGCCCUGGAUGCACAUCUCGAUUGAAGAAAUCUCGGAGAGUCUGUCCUUACAGUCGAGGCUUAGAUUACGCCAUCGGUUGAUGUAGUCCAUGACUGGCUCGUCCUUCCACUGCUUUGUGCUUGUUAGCUCUAGCAUGCUCACAGUGCGGCGGGUGCUGUAGAAGCGAUUGAGGAAUUCCCGCUCCAAUUGCUCCCAACUGUUGAUGGACUCAGGCUCCAGAUCCGUGUACCACUCAAAGAUGUUUCCUUUCAGCGAGCGCACAAACUGCUUGGCGAGGUAGUCCUCUUCGGUUCCUGCGUUGUUGCAAGUUUCAACGAAGUGGGCAACGUGCUGUUUCGGGUUUCCCUUUCCAUCAAAUUGCAUGAACUUUGGUGGUUGAUAACCCCUUGGCAUCCUUAAGGCGUCGAUCUUUUUUGAAUACGGCUUUGAGUACAACCCGGAGGUACAUGAGCUCCCUUCGUACUGUGCCUUGAUGGUGUUGGUGAUCAUCUCUUGCAGCUGCUGGAUAGAAAGAGAUCCCAUGAGUGCCGCUGCUUGGUCUGGUUUCGGCUUCCCAUCGAUUUUCUUCACCGGGGGUUCUUCGUCUCCGCCAGCUCCUCCCUUUAGUGGAUCAUCCUCUGGGUCGGGUUUCUCGCUGUCCUGCGCCUCCAAUCGGUUGACUAAUGCCGCGAUUUGCAAGUCUUUUUCUUCCACAGUUCGAGUUAGUCUUGCGAUUGCUUCAUUCAUUUGAGCAAGCUGUUCCUCGACUUGAAGUUGCUCCAAUGCGGUCAUGACUUGCAUGGCUGAACUGCCGCUUGAAUCGUCAUCGGAGAGCAUGGAUUCGGAGUAUUCCCUUGGUCUUUCCCCCCUUGGUGCCCUUAGUGAGGCUAAGGUGAUCACAAGGCUCGCGCCUGGGGUACUCUCGUUCCCCUGGCAGAGUUGAUGCAGAGGUGAAAGAGGUGGCAGAAGUAGCUUUUGCUUUGCUUCGAGUCGUGAUACCCCAACGUGACACCACUUGCGACGAGGGCGCCUUUGUUCUUUGCGCCGGUUAUGGGAACAACUUUGAGCCUUCCUUGACGUCAUUGAAUUUUGGAAGUGUGCUUGAUAUUCCUUGAACGGAGGAAGAGAUGAGAGGUAGAGAUGUCCCACUGGGCGUGCCAAUUUAUGAACACGGAAAAUUCCUGAAACGAAAGAGACAAGAACAACGUGCACAAACAAAUAUUUGUAUUUGAUGAUUUUGGGUUACAAUCUCUCUCUAUUUUGAUCCUCUGAUUCGAUCUCCGUAAGGUAUUGAUUUGUGGAUGUUUCCUUGAUCCAAGGGCCGUCGAGGCUUGAUCUUGGAUGAACUGUUGGAAGUUUCUUCAAGGGGCCGUGGGCUUGAUCUUUGAAGGUGGAUUUGAGCGGAUCUUCAAAGGGGCUUUUGGGCUUGAUCUUUGAAGAACAGUGACGAACGGAUCUCCAAAGGCUUUUGGGCUUGAUCUUGAAGAACAGUGAUGAACGGAUCUUCAAGGGCUUUUGGGCUUGAUCUUGAAGAACGGUUGGAUGUGUGGAUUUGUCGACGUUGUUGAUCCAAAGGGCCGUUGGGGCUUGAUCUUGGAUGAACGGAUGAUGAACGAUGGUGCUUUCUUCAAGGGCCGUCGGGGCUUGAUCUUGAAUUGGUAGAUGGUUGAUCCAAGGGGCCGUUGGGGGCUUGAUCUUGGAAGAACGAUGAACGAAGAACGAGGAACACUUUCUUCAAGGGCCGUCGGGGCUUGAUCUUGAAUUGGUGGAUGAUUGUUGAUCCAAAGGGCCGUUGGGGCUUGAUCUUGGAAGAACGAUGAACGAAGAACACUUUCUUCAAGGGCCGUCGGGGCUUGAUCUUGGAAGAACGAUGAACGAAGAACGAAGAAGGCUUUCUUGAUUCUUCGGGAACCUGGAUGCUUGAGAGCUUCGGAGUUUCAGAGCUUCAGAGCUUCAAGGUGUAAUAUGAAUUCCCCCUCAAAAUGAAUGAAAUGGGCUUGUAUUUAUAGAAUUUUCCAAUGCCUAAUUUUGAAUAUAAUAUCCCAGAUGAAAUAAGUCGUUUCUGCCAGGUGUUGACACGUGUCCUAUUUGAUGACUUUUCCAACUCAUUUCAAUUUUCGUUGAGUCACACGCUACGUGCAAAAUUUAUGUAAUACAUGAGCGUUGACACUUUGAUUUAUCAGUCAACAUUUAUUUACAAAAUUUCGAUGUCUACAGUAUCAAUACGUAACUAUAGUAUCUAAACAUACAUAUAUACGUAAUAUGCAUAUACAUAUAUAUAUGGAAAUUCACGCACAAUGAAAAAGAUAUGAUAAUAUAUGACUUUUUAUGGGAACUUAAUAAAUAACAUUUUUAUUAUUUAUGGGAAUCAAUAUAUAACCUACAAACAAAAAACUAAAUAAUUAUUACAACCUAUUUAAUAUUAAAAAAAUUAAAAUUAAAUGCUAAGGAUUAGAAUUAGUUUUUAAUCUUAGACAAGGAUUAGAAUAGAAUUUUCCGAAUAUUGAAGACGUUAUUAUUUAUGUGUUUUGUGAACAUUAUUAUGGCAUGAUCAUACAUCUUUUAUUAGCUCAUCAUGUAUGUUAAACCGGUGUCUAUAGUGCUAUCUAGGAUCAUGAUCAACUUCACAUGUAUGUUCACACUGCACGUUAUGCUCACUUUGGAUUUUUUUAGUUCUAGCCUGUACUAGUUGCAUUUAUCUUUCAAGACUGAAGUGUGAUGUGCCUUGCACCACCUUCACGUGUAUUUGUACUUGAGCGUAGAUUUAUACACCCAACUUGUUCUGCUUAGAGUGUCCUCCCUUGGAUAAGCUUGUUUGUCUGCAUUUCUUAUGAGAAUAUUAUAUCAUACUUACUAUAUUUGAGAUUUAUUGUAAUAUAAAUGUAUUCUUUAAAUUUGUUUUUAACAUAAUCGAAUUUAAAAACUCUCACCUACAAGUAAAGAUGAAUAUCACAAGACAAUGAUGAUAUACAUGUAUUCUUGAAUUAACUGGUUUAAUAUUAAUGCCUUAGUUUUCAUACUUAUACGUAUGAUUUUUAAAAGUUAUGAGUUUUACAGCGAGACGGGGGUUAUUAUGUUCCGAAAAGCAAGGGGCAAAAGCCAUACCAGUUUUGUCACUUUCUCAUCCACCAAAAAACUCUCUCACCAGCUACCCCAACAACUUCCUCUCUGUCUCUUCCCCUGAUGUCAAACUGUACGGUGGAGCGCUGCACAGUUGAGACCAGCGAUGGAGUCAAGCUCAGCGCAAAGCUCUUCAAACCCAGAGAAGAAGAAGAGAUCAAGAAGGGCAGCCCUGUGGUGGUUCUGGUGCACCCAUACUCCGUCCUCGGCGGCUGCCAAGGCCUGUUGAGAGGAAUAGCAGCUGGGUUGGCAGACGGAGGCUAUAAAGCUUUGACCUUUGACAUGAGAGGGGUUGGGAGGUCAACAGGAAGGGCCUCUCUCACUGGGUUUGCAGAAAUUAAGGAUGUGAUUGCUGUGCAAAUGGGUUUCUGAGAAUCAAUCAGCUGACAGGAUUUUGUUGGUGGGUUCUUCUGCAGGUAUAAUAUGUUUGAAUUUUAUUUUCUUUUAGAAUAUGUUUCUGCAAUUUUUAUUGGAUUAAGCAUGUUGGUUAUAAAUUAAAGGGGGUGUUUUUUAUGUGGAUGAUUUUUUUGGAUCUGUGGAUUGUGUAUUAGCUUGUGGUGGUUUAAAGAUUGCUUCUUUGAUUGUUUUGGUGAAUGGUUGUGUGGAUCUGUAAUUUGGAUAUUAGUUUGCGAAGUGAUCAGAGUGUUACGUAGAUAACUACUAAUUACUUUCUGAAGCGUCGUCGAAAAAUUAAAGAAGGCUUUGGAUUUGAGGGAGAAUUGAUGAUAUGAGGCUAGGAUUUCAUUGGUAAUGUUAGUUUUCCCAUAUAAGUGUGAAGAAGUUGGAAUUUCAUUUGGUAAUGUUGUUUGGAGUAUUUCUGACUUUCGUGUUGCUGAUCGAACUGUCCUUCGAUCAUUCAAAAGUUUGGAUUUUGAUCACAUUCAAGGCAAAUAUAAGUAUGAUGAAAAAUGUUAUGUGCAACAAUGGUAGGUUUCUCUAGCUCGACUGGAGAUUGUAAAUGUUGUAAAAGAUGAUAAAUGAUGAGAAGCCUAAGUUUCUAGUAAUUGUGAGGGACUUGAGCUAUGAUUUGAUAAAAUCUAGCAUCGUUGUAAUUUCGAACAGCCUCUCACUGUUGCUCCUUAACUUCUUGUUCUGAAUUGCAAUUUUUGGUUUUCGAUGUUUUGUUUAUGCUCUCUAGUAAUUGCAAUAUGAAAAUCGAUACAAGGACAUAAGUAAAAUCACAAGGUCAAUCAGUUUUAGUGAGAAAUAGAUGGUUUUUUUUUUUUUCUGCAAAUAAUCUUGUGGUAAACUAUGAAGCAUGAUCUAGGAUCUUUCUGGUAUGAACCGCACAUAAUUGUUGUAGACAUGGUCGGAAAAACAUAAGAUGUUAUUCAUAGUCCUGUCUGUUUUGUUCGUUUUAUGAUCAUUUGAGCAGGGAGUAACAUAAUUUCCUCAUAUGUUUUAUAAUUUCCCUAUGUUACGGUGUAGGUGCCCCGAUUGCAGGCUCUGCGGUAGAUCAGGUUGAACAAGUUGUGGGCUAUGUUAGUCUGGGGUAUCCUUUCGGCAUGCUUGCCUCAAUCCUUUUCGGGAGACACCACAAAGCCGUACUACAAUCCUCAAAACCCAAACUUUUCGUAAUGGGGACACAGGACGGGUUCACGAGCGUGAAGCAGUUAAAGAACAAGCUGAGUUCUGCAGCCGGUCGUGUUGAAACACACCUGAUUGAAGGAGCAGGCCACUUCCAAAUGGAAGGCCCUGCUUAUGAUGCACAGAUGGUGAAUCUUAUCCUUGAAUUCAUUGCAUCAUUGUAGGUAAUCAACCAUGUGUAAUGGAGUUGUUCUAUAUCAGAACGGAUCAGAUCCGCACCGAUCAGAUUCUCCCCGUUAGCAUCGUGCCGCUGAUGUAUGUGUAUGCUAACUUGUAAUCGUGUGUAAUUUGCAGGAGCUUAGUUGGUUGCUAUGUGCUUUCGGUGUAAAAUUAAGCUGAUGUCUCAACAAAUACGAGAGAAAGAGAGUCGUUAAAUCAAUCUUUACAGUCAAGUGUCAUCCAGUACAACCCCGAAAACAUAAUUAAGGUUAAACUAAAACUGAAACGAAGCCUAACGCUUACACUAAUCAUUCACUUGAUUCGACAUCAAAUCCGAACAUGGCACAGAUACUACAAGGAGGAAUAUAUCAUAUGUCGUCACUCUCAAAACGUUGAUCAUCGGAUGCAAUUCUGCCGUCCCUGGUCAUUUUGUUGCCAUUUGAACCAUCAACCCCCCCGACCUUCAGCCAUUUCGUCAUACUGCCGUUUUCUCCAUCCGCGUUCUGGGUCUAGUGAUUGUCUUUGGGAGAAUGUAUGUUCAUCUGUUUUGAAGCCAAACAAGGAAGAAAAAUGGGACAUUGGUCAUCAGCAAAAGUUAAUAAGACGUUGCGCAGCCGUGCUGCUUCAGAGAUACAUUCACUGCAAUAAUAGAUAAUACAUCCAUUGUAAUUUUCGGAAAAUAUAUAUACGCAACAUAGCAGCAUGAUGACCUUGAUGUUAAAAAUUACAGAAAGUUUUAACUGAAAAGUUGUACACAGUAAGUACUAGUCAAAUCUGACUAAUAAGGACUAAAGAUACAACAUAAGGCAGUGGAGCUUUAUUAUGUAUUAUAGAACAUGGGUUAUAUGCAAUUAGUUAUUACCGCUUUCAACGUCAGAUGCAUCUUCGAGUCUUGCAAUUGCAUCGACCAGUGCCUGUUCAUGCUCCUGCGUUUUAUAUAAACCAUUACAAUCCCGGCAAUUAAAGAACAUCACGCAAAUAAAGCAUAAAAGAUGCUUGAAUUCAUACUUUGAGAACUUUCUUGGCUUUCUCAAUCUCCAUGGGGUCAGGAUGGCUGGCUCUGAAAACCUUUUCCACCUAUAGUUUCAAGCAAAGCGGGAAAAACAAGUUACCACCAGGUAAUUGGAGGAAAAGCGGGGAAGAAAAAACUUAAAUCGUCAUACUUAUACCUCUUUAAUCAACGAGCCUGUAUGAAGUAUUUCAAUGUCGCUCAUUGCCUUCCUGCCAAUGCCAUUUAGUUGCGGAGGCAAAUCCUUCUUGGAACCCUUUGCAGUCCCUCUACCUCUUCCUGCACCUGCAACUGCACCACCACGUGCCGUGGACUUUUUAUUCCCUCGGCCAGGUCCAGGUCCAGGUCCAGGUCGACCGCCUUUACGAGAAAUCCCAGGAUCAUCAGCUUCCCACCGAAUAUCUUCAGGAGAUAUCUAUAUCAUUAGAAGGAACAACAACAAUUAGCAAAAAGCAAUCGGGAAAUGAGCUCACAAGGAAAAUCACAAACACAAUCUAAUGGGCCACAAGGUCCACAACCCAUUACAAUGUCAGUACAAUGUUAAGCAAGUAUUUGAUGUUCAUCCCUACUUUCUCCACAUCCCAAGGACAAAAAGUGAAAACUAAAAACUAAAUAGUUAUCAAACGGACCCAUGGUAAAAUAUAUAAGAACACUGCUCAGUAUCAAAAAGCACAAACUUUUGAUAUGAAGAUUUACAUGGUGAUAAUGAGGUAACUCAAAAUCAAUCUGCAAUCGUAGCUUUAUUAUGAAUAAAAUGGUUAAGGAAUUGAAAAACUUAGCAUAGAGUACAGAUUUAAGUUUAAAUAAUUGCAAAAACAAGCACAGAAAAGCAAAGUACCUCAGAUUCUCCUGAAGUGCUAUAAACCCGCGCAAACUCAUUUGUCAUAAUGUGCAAAAACAAAAAGCAAAAACUUUGAUUUUUGAGAUUUCAAAUUUAAUUAUUUAUGAGAUAAAGAAUAUAUCUUUGAUAAACAAAAGGAUUAAAGGCCUACGAAAGAAACAUCAAUAGCAGUAUACCUCUUUUAGAUUGACCCAUUCCCAUGUCUCAUCCACUGUACCAAUAUCAUAAACCAGAGCAUGUAGACCCUGUCAACAUUUGAGAAUUGUUAGAAUUCACGAAGAUUUAUAUUGGAGUUGCGUGGUCAAAACUGCUAAAUUAAAAAAUGCUUACUCAGGUUCAGAUGAAUUCACAGCAAAAGCAUACCUCAGCACGGUUGAAAUUAGUUAUAACAGCCUCAUAGAAGUGAUUGUCUUCAGGCCACCUUGUCCAAACUUUUCUUCCUACUAACGGAUCAUCAGUUUCUCCCUCAGCAGGCUCAUUUUCCACAAAGGCACCGGUAGGACCUCGAUUAGUGGCUUGGGGCCUUCCAGGAAUAUUUGCAGAAGGGUACUGUGUGGACUUCAAAAGCAGGCAACAAACUCCAUUAGAAAAGAACAGGGAAAAACAAAUCCAAGAAUAUAUAAAUAGCAUUGCACCAUUUUCUUAACCCAGGAUUAUUUCAACUUACAGAUUUUGGUUUCUUGUUCCGAGGUCCUGGAGGAGGACCUCGUCUCAAAGCUGCAGAGGAUUGUUGCAUGGAUGGAGGCAACGCAGGAGUUGCAGCACCGAGGGAUAAGGACUGUGAUGUUUUCUGUUUCUUGCGUGAUGCUGAAACAGUUGGACUAGGCAGGGGGUCAUGAACAGGCUGAGCAGCAUUAAGUGUACCAUGUUGGACCCCACUUGUUUUUCUCCAUUCCCUAAUAGCAUAUAGUAAAACAUUUCUCAUAAAAAAAUGCAGAGCUAUCCAAAUGUCUUUGCUGCUCAAACCAACAUGGCAUAAUAUAAUCAGACCUUAAUCUCUGGAUCAUGUCAUCGGCAUUGACCCUGGACAAAAGUUCUCUGUGUUCCUCAUCAGAUACUCUCAGCUCCUUUCUAAGUUCCGUAAUUAAAGUUUCCUUAUCCUGUAAAGUACAUAAGAACUGACUUUCAGGCCUAAGUUAACACAAUCAUACUUUUGAUCCAAAAGAAAAGCGGAAGAAAAACUACGAAUAAUUAAUCAAACAGCUACCCAGGUGAGGGCAUCAGAUUGAGCACUAAACGCCCUUAGAACUGAACAGUAUGCUUCUUGCUCAAUGCGGUGAAUCUGGAUUUCCAUGUCACCAUGCAUCCUAGAUAAUGGAGCAGAACCGACGGCUGCUGACCUUCCAUUCCCAGAAGUUCGGCCUCCUCUUUGAAACCUAUUUUGAUGAGACGGCGGAAGGUCAUCAUCCGUUCCUGCAAAUGUUUCAGAACAUAGCAAAACUAUUAUUUCUAGCUUCAGUAACAAGUCUAUUAGGUCUUUCAAGUGCAUUGCAAUAGGAAACCAUGGAAUCCUUUUCAUUUCUAAGGGCCUUGUCCCCACGAUAGCCACCUUUUUCAGUUAUAUGCAUGCAACAUAUUUAGCAGGCAGUUUCUUGUAUCUGUGCCUCAUAAAGUAUGCACAAACUAUAUGUAUAUAGAAAUACAGAUCUUAUAUUCCAGACAAACCACGUAAGAAUGCACUCCUUCCUCAAAGUGUCGUGACACUAGUGAAAAAGGAACUAAAAUUGUAAAUCACACCAACAUUUUCUGAUAAUACAGAUGAUAGGUUCUAGAUGCAUGCACAGUCCCCUAAAAAUGUUGCUUUAGCAUCCAAGAGUAGUACCAAUGUUAAAUAAACAAGAAAAAGGAAAAAGAAAGAUACCUUGGUUACAAUGUUAAAUAUUUUGCUGAUUCGGAAAAAUAACUAUUGCUUUUCUCAUUGUUGUCAUGCAACAGAACAAAACAGCUUUGCAGGUAUUUAUAACAGAAACAUAAUAACUCUCAUGCUCAAAAUGCAUCUUUCACUAUUCCGACACUAAACUAACGCAUCCUUUUGUUAAAAUAUGUUAAACUAAUAUAAGCCAUAAUUUUCAGCCUUAAUUGCCAACUUUUCUGAAUAAAACAAACCAACGACAAACACACAAAACGUGACCAAUAUAUCAAGAACUCUUAACUUUACGCCGAUCUGUUACUUUUCUCGCACCAUCAGCCUUUUUCUCCUAUGCGGUGACCUUGGCUAGAAACGGAAUAAUCGGACCUAACUACCAUUGACAAAAUUCCACAGAGGACAGUUACAAGUGACUUUUCUCAAAGGAUGAAACUGAAACAAUUCCAAGCACUAUUCACAAAAAAGUAAAUAUCAUUCGGGCGUCCAUCCAGUGUUCAGAAUGCAAGGCACAAAAUUUAAAACACCAAGCAAGACCAACUUAAAGACGGGAAGAAUGGGAUUUCCCGAAUCAGAAUCAAUCUCCAGAACAUAAUGACACCAAAGUGGAAGAACUUGUAGCUCUUACAUGGUGCUUCCAAACCAACUUAUACAAACUAAAAGAAAGAACAAAGCCAAAAACAAAAUCCUAGUACCUCCGAGCACAAGCCGGGUACACUACAUUACAAUUAAAGCCAAAGCACAAGCCGGAACAAAAGCCAAACUACAUUACAAUAAACUUUCUUCGAAUUCAACCAUGGUAGACCAAAGUAGUACAAAUUCAAGGAAAUCCCACAAAAACAAUGAAUUCACAGUAAAAAACACAUCAAAAGCAGUAAUCAAACCCAAAUUCACGAAUUUGAGUCAAAAUUACUCUGAGAACCAAUAAAUUACACAUUAGAAAAACAAAAAUACAUAAAAAUCAAAAUUGAAAAACAGAUAAGCAAAUUCAACUUAGCUUACCACUGCUAUCUGAGAGUUCGUAGUCCAUCACCGCUCCUAACCAAGACUUUCGCUAAAACCCUAGCAAACCCACGUCAACCCCGAUCAAUUCAGCAAACCCACGUCGGAAAUUCGAUCAAUUUCAUCGAGAACUUGAACUUGUACCUACUGGUACCCUCCAAAACAGAUAAAUUCGCAAAAUUUGACCCAAUUUUAGGACAGUACGGUCCCAAAACCUCAAAGAAGUUGAAAUUAGGGCCCCAAUAGUGGUGACGAUCGAUUGACGUCAAUGGGAGCGAAAUGGGAAUGGAAUACCUGUUCUAAUUGUGGGGCGUAACUAGAAUUUCGAAGAGUUGUGGGGUAAAAAGAGUGGGAAUUGGACUUGGAGUGUGAAUUCGAAGAAAUUGAAUUCCGGCAGAGGGAUUGAAGAUUGGAGAUAGGGAGGGAGGGAAGUCGCGGACUUCAAACUAGUUCUUGUGGCGACCUAAUUUUUUCAGUUAAUAAUUCAGUUUCAGUUCCGUGUUUCCUAUUGGCUGAUGGUUUUUCUCUUACUUAUGUUAUUUCUCAUACACACCUUUGUCAAAUUUUAUUAUUUUAUUUUUUGAUCCGAUGAUUGAAAUUUUGAGAAAAGUGUGUGAGAAGUAAAAAUGAGUAUGUAGAUAGCAUUAUCUUCUUUUUUUUCGAGUACACACCUGGCGCUCAAAUGUAGGUCUCACAUAUGAGCCAUGUUAGUUAACAAACUAAGCACCAGUUUGGAAUUGAUGUGCUUUAAAAAAAAAACUACCUCUCAUGUUCUUUGAGAUAAUCAACUAUAAAAUAAACCAGUUGAAUGUUUGAUAAACUGUAUUUUUUAAAAGUUUGUGAGUAUGAAAAGUGGUGUACAAGCGUGGUACAUAAUGAUACAACAUACAUUGUAUGGAGGUGGUGGCAACGACAAAGAUGACAAGGUAGUUGCAGUGAUGACACCGACAAUAGUGGGGGUGUAUUGGUAGCACCAUAAUAGAGUGGUUGGAUUGUAGAGAUGGCAGCGAUAGUGGCUACGAUUAUAGUGUUACUAGUGUGACAACGGUGGUGGUGGUGAUGGCGGCAGUGUUGUAGGUUGGUGGAUGUAGUCAUAGGUUGUGGUGAUGACAGUGGUAGCAAUGGCAGUAGCAUUGGCGAUGUGGGCCUGCGGGGGUGAUGGUUAUGACAAGAACAAUUGUGAAAGUAUGGUUGGGUAUCAAUAGCAAAGAGUGGUGGUUUGGAGUAUAGAUUACAAUGGUGGUAGAGGGGUGGCAAUAGUGAUGGCGGUAGUGAUGGCAGUUUUGGUUAUGGUGGCAACAGUGGUAACGAUUAUGGCGACGGUAAUGAAAACAAUUGACACACUCAACCCAAUUAACCAUUAGACUAAGGGUAGAGAUUGUUGACCAUCACCAUAGUGGCAACAAAGCCAUAAGUAGAGUUUUAAAAGUGUGAUAAUUAGAACCAACAAGUUAAAUUAAUUAAAAGCAACUAAAAUUAUCCAGCAAAAAACGUAAAACUACAAACAACCUCUCCACUUGAGACACAAUAGGGUUUUUCUCUUUGAAUACAUGUUACAAGUUCAGAGUAUAACAGUAGUAAAUGCAACAGUGUUUGCAACCAAUCAUGCAUUGUGCAAAUGCAAUCAUAGAUUUGAUUAUUUAUUAAGAAAAACUAAUGAAAAAUGUUUGAAAACUUUAAGUUUUAACGAUAAUGACAAAAUAAAUAGUAAAAUGAAUAUACUAUGAUGACUUUUUAAUGUAAAAAUGUGAUUUUUCGCUAAAAUAAACAAUACAUGAGCUUUUCGUUAAAAUUUUCUAUUUAUUAAUAAGUAAGAUCACCUUACUCAUAUCCUAGUGAGAGAUGCAUUACUGCCAAGCUCGCUCAUAGUCGUCAAUUGCUGCUUUUCUCACUAAAUUUCGGGAGGAGGGGAGGAGGAUAAUGUGUGGGUGAAUCAUAGUCAUUUAUUACUAUGCAUAUAUAUAUAUAUAUAUAUAUAUAUUUUUUAUUUAUUUAUGUUAGUUUGAAUUUUUUUUUUUUGAAAUUGUUUUAUUUUAUGACAAAAUUGUACUUUUAAGCAAAAAAAAAACCCCAAAAUUUUAUUUAACAGAAGAAAAAUGCAGAUCAUUUCGCAUUUCUCCUCACUCUCCUCACUUCCCCUCCCUCGCCUCGCUCUCUCCACCGCCCUCAACUUCCGCCGUCGCCCAUCCAAAUUCCCAUUUUACCCCUCCAAUCACUUCGAAAUUCCCAGGCUGCCCCUCCUCGCAUGCAACCUCAGCUGCGGCCGCAGCCAACGGCAAGCACCCAUGGACUCACCCACGCCGCAGGCCGCCGCGUCGGUCGACUCCGUGACGCAUGAUUUUCAGAAUCAGAGCUUGGCCAGCGACGGCGGCGAUGAGAAGAUUUGCAAGAAUGAAAGCAACGGUGUAAGUAACACUCAGAGGGUUAGGUUGAAGCUCGAAGAUCUGAAUUGGGACAACUCAUUUACCAGAGAGCUGCCUGGUGAUCCUCGGACCGAUACGAUUCCGCGAGAGGUUAGCUUGUUUUUCUGUUCUGUUUUGAUGUUUGGGUUAUUUUCUGUUUGGUUGCUGAGAAAUGGAGGAAAUGAAAGUGUAUAAUGUAUGUUGGGUGUGUGUUUGUUACUAGCUAAAGGCUUUCACUUGCGUUUUUGUUUCGUAACCAAUCGGAGAAGUUGUUGACUUUAAUCAUAAAUGCUUAGUAAAUUGUAGUUGCUCAAUCGAGAAAUGACCAAGUAAUUUACGAUUUGUGUGUUGUGAACUGGGUUCUGUUUGGUUCCUGAGAAAGUGGUGGAAAACCAAAUAAGAAAUUGGAACAUAUGUGGGUUCUGUGUGUGUACUAGUUAAAGGCUUGCAUUUACUCUUUUGUUUCAUGCCCAAAUCAGAAAAAUUGUUAAAUUUAUGCAUAACUGCUUUGGAAUUUGUACUUACUCAAUUGAGAAAUUGCUGAGUGGCUGACAGUUUGGGUGUUGUUAGUUGGGUUAGUUUAAUUUGGCUAUGGAACUGUACCAUUGAUAGGUUUGAUUGUGAUUUCAUAUCUUGCUUUGAGCUCCUUUGAUUUUUACUAGCUGAGGGGGUGAUGGCGAUGCGUUGUAAUUAGAAUCGUGGAAGUCCAAGAGCUCGUUCUUAUCGAGUUCACUUAAUUUGGCUAUGGAACAGUGCCAUGAUAGUGUUUAUUGUGAUAGAUCUCUUGCUUUGUGCUAUAAUUUGAAAUUUUUACUAGCUGAUGGGGUAUUAUGUUGUAAUUUGAUGUUAUGCAUUCUGGGUUUUGAUUAUCAGGUAUUGCAUGCUUGUUAUACGAAAGUGUCCCCGUCUGCUGAAGUUGAAAAUCCUCAGCUUGUUGCAUGGUCAGAAUCUGUUGCUGAGUUUCUUGAUUUGGAUCCUAAAGAGUGAGUGUUCUUGUUUCUUGUGCUCCUGGGAACAUCAACUGUUAAUGCUUUUAUAGAACGUGGAUGAGAAAAUAAACUUUAUCUUCAGAGUGUUUGGUGGUAUCAGAAAGAAAAACUGGUGUUUGACAGCAUAUAUUAUGGAUAAUGGUUUUGAUGGUCCUUGGAAGUUUGAACCUGAAUCUGUUUCUACCUCUACACAAGAACCUUAUGGUUGGUACUUUAGGAAAUUAGAUCAGUGUGUAAAUAACAUGACACUACUAUUAUAACUUGUAAGUGGACGUAUGGUAAAUUAGUCCCCCAGAUAAUUUAUACAUUUGGAGUUGCUAAAUUUUCACAUGUUUGUCAAGAUUCGUGUUAUUGAUUGAAAUUUUCUUUUCUUCGAGUUCUGAUAUUUAGCUGAGGCUAUUGUUUCCUUUGUACAUGUAUUUUGCAUCUUGUAUGACUGCUUUGGUUUUGGACUUGCUGUUACUAAACCUUGACUGAUAUACCAUAGUACUUCACUCGGAUGAAUGAUGAGUACAUAUGUUUUGCACAUGUGGUAUGUCAUGUUUCAUGGGACUAAUUUGCCACCUUAUUUGGAGUUACAGAUUUGAAAGGCCAGAUUUCCCUCCUUUAUUCUCUGGGGCAUCUCCCUUGGUGGGAUCGUAAGUGCUUCUCUGAAUAUUAUGUUAUGAGACUCACAUUUGUGCUUGUCAAUUUUCAUCAACAACUGGAUCGUAACUGCUUUAUUUAUGCAGGUUACCCUAUGCUCAAUGCUAUGGUGGACAUCAAUUCGGCAUGUGGGCUGGACAGUUGGGAGAUGGGCGGGCUAUUACUCUUGGGGAGGUUCUUAAUUCUAAGUCUGAAAGGUGGGAACUUCAGCUUAAAGGUGCUGGAAAGACUCCUUACAGUCGGUUUGCAGAUGGCCUUGCGGUGCUUCGUAGUAGCAUUCGGGAAUUCCUUUGCAGUGAAGCAAUGCAUAAUCUUGGAAUUCCAACAACACGAGCUCUCUGUCUUGUGACAACAGGAAAAUUUGUCACACGUGACAUGUUCUAUGAGUAUGUUAAUUAGAACUCUAUGCAAUUAGUAUUUUUCUACCUAAUCAUGUUUUACUACGAGAACCAUACACCAUCUUUACUGGAUAAUUUCUCUUUGGUCUUUGAGAUAUAUGAACCUUCUUGGUUUGAUCUUAUGCUAAGAUAUCAAUAUCUUGCUCGGGGAAAGGAUGAAUUUUUUAGGAAUAUAUGUUCUUCUUAUUCUCUUCUUAAAAAUAAAUUCCUCAUGUCUUCAUUUGCAGUGGCAAUCCAAAAGAGGAGCCUGGUGCAAUUGUUUGCAGGGUUUCUCCAUCCUUUCUGCGUUUUGGGUCAUACCAAAUACAUGCCUCUAGAGAAAAGGAGGACCUUGAAAUUGUUCGUGCUCUUGCAGACUAUGCCAUUAGGCAUCACUUUCCUCAUAUAGAGAACAUGAGUAGAAGCGAGAGUUUAUCUUUCAACACAGGCAACGAAGAAGUUCUUGAUCUGACAUCUAACAAGUAUGCAGGUAAUCAUUUUUUCUUUGGAGUAAAGGUGUUGGUGCUGGUACCUUAAUUUACUUUCAAUAAGCCAGGAUAAACUAUUUCUUAUUGUGGAAGCGUAAUGAAUCAAAAGGCUUUGUUGUUGUUGUUGGAAGCGUAAUGAAUCGGAACUUCAGUUUACAAGUGCUGUAUAAGUUUACUGGUCAUAAAUUUCUCAUGUUGUGCACCUUCCUAUGGUCUUAUCCCAUGGCAUUAUGGUAGUUUAUUUUUCAUUUUUGUCCAGAAAAAUUGUUUGGGUUGAUUUAGGAUUGAAGCAUUUAUUUAGGAUUUAGCUUCCAUACAUUUUCUUCAUGUAUGCCUGCAUUCGCAAUUAUAGGAGUUCACUUUUCUUUUUUCUUCUUUAGAAAAAACCAUUUGGAUUGACGUAGAUGCCAAACACCUAUUUAGUACACUCAGUUGACAGUUGCAGAGUCCUAAUUGGUUCAGUAGUUUUGUAGGAAGUUUUGUAUUCUGGCCAAGUUAGUAGUGUGGUGAGCUCCCAUAUCGGGCAUGGAAAAUGAUUAAGAUGGGAUGGUAUCUCUCUUGUAUGCAAUGUACACUUUGGACUAAUAAAGAUGGCUUCAGGUUCUGUUAAAAGCUAAUACAAUUAGGGACGAAAUAUCUUGUUUCAAAGUUGCAUCCAUAUAGUUUCUUCAUGGAACUGAGUGAAGACUCAAAUCAGAUGUCUGCUGUUGAUACUGCGGUCCAUGCUGGAGCACAUUACUCAGGGACCAUCUUAUUAUAUUAAUAGAACUUAGUCAUUGUGUUUCACAGAAUGAAAAAAAGAAAAGAAAAGAAAAGAAAAGAGAUGAUUUGAUGCAUCACUAGUUUCUAUUUAGCUUGUAAAGUUUUAGUGCUAAAUAUGUUAGUGCUAAGGUUUGUGCAAAAUGUGGUUACGAAUAUUGUACUGAACCUUGGUCUUUUCUCUCAUUUACCCUUACUGCCACUCUGAAAAUAGUUUCUGAUAGAUGUCUUGCACAUCAUACUUAAUUAACCGUUUUUCUGAACUUUUGCUCCCAUCAUGGUUUUUAAACAGCUUGGGCAGUAGAGGUUGCUGAGCGUACUGCUUCCUUGGUUGCCAGAUGGCAGGGGGUUGGUUUUACUCACGGUGUGUUGAACACUGACAAUAUGAGCAUUUUGGGUCUUACCAUCGAUUAUGGUCCUUUUGGAUUUCUGGAUGCAUUUGAUCCAAGUUACACGCCGAAUACCACGGAUCUUCCUGGGAGGAGAUAUUGUUUUGCAAAUCAGCCAGAUAUUGGCUUAUGGAAUAUUGCACAAUUCACUAGAACUCUGGUAGCAGCCAAGUUGAUUGAUGAUAAGGAGUCGAAUUAUGCAAUGGAAAGGUAAUUGUCAUUCCUACACCUCUAUCCUAAUUAAAUGUAUGUUGAAGUGGGAGUUAAUUUUCAUUUUUCGGGGGAUUUUUAUAGAUAUGGAACCAAGUUCAUGGAUGACUAUCAAGCUAUAAUGACCAAAAAACUUGGUCUCCCCAAGUACAUUAAACAGCUGAUCAGUAAACUUCUGAAUAACAUGGCCAUCGACAAAGUGGAUUACACAAACUUUUUUCGGUUGCUAUCCAAUAUCAAAGCUGAUCCCAACAUUCCCGAAGAGGAGUUGUUGAACCCACUGAAGGCUGUUCUAUUAGAUAUUGGGCAGGAGCGAAAGGAGGCAUGGAUCAGCUGGGUGAAAAUCUACAUAGAGGAGGUAUGAUGAACUCUGGUUUUCUUAUGACUUCCAUCUCGGAAAAGUAUACUGGUUCGAUACCAACAUUGUAUUCAUCAUAAACAUUGUUUUCGUUCAGAAUAUUGUUAAACUCAUCCAGUGGCUAGAUUCUCGUCAAAAGCGAACAUUAUGUCAUCUGAUUUUCUCACAAAUUAUAGUUUUUGCUUGUGCAGCUGGCCAGUAGCGGCAUCUCCGAUGAGGAGAGGAAGGCAUCAAUGAAUGCAGUGAACCCUAAAUAUGUUCUCAGAAACUACCUAUGCCAGAGUGCCAUUGAUGCAGCUGAACAAGGUGAUUUUGAGGAGGUUCGGAGGGUGCUUAAAGUAAUGGAACGACCAUAUGAUGAGCAACCGGGAAUGGAGAAAUACGCUCGCCUGCCCCCGGCGUGGGCUUAUAGGCCUGGAGUUUGCAUGCUAUCUUGCUCUUCAUGAGUUUGAUUAUCUAAUUACAAUGUUAUAUAGAUGGCAAAACGAGAUUUUUGUUUCGUUUUUCCUCGACAGAUUAUCUUCGGUCAUGUCAUAGUAAGUUGUCGUAUAUAAUAGUCAAAUUCGGGGGUUCUCCUCUCCUUCGUUUACCUUCGACGAUGAAAUAAAGUGGCAAUGUCGUAUGAUUCUGGUUUCUGAACAAUUUAUACAGCUUACAGAAAUGCAAGAAAAACCAGCUCAAAUGGAACAUGGUGCUGAAAGAUUGGCCAUGAGGCCAUCUCCAAUCGAUCUGAACAAAGGGUCAUAUAGCUAAAAAUAACUUGGAAUGACACGAAAACCGUCUUCAACCGAGGGUUAGGCCAAAGGGCAUUUGGGUCCUAUCGGGCCAAAACCCCCAAAUUAGGCCAAUGGGUUGGCCAUUUCUAGUUAGUCAGCCAAUCAUCCAGCACCAAAAUGUCAAACUUCAUAUUUUGCCAGCUCUCCAACUUAGCCCAUUUAAAAUUUGAAUGCCAACGGCUACCUGGCAUCAGCAUGACGCCAGCUAUCAACGACUAGUAGAUAUCAUGCUGUCGUCAGGUUACCAUUAGAAUUUGAUUUUUUUUAUUUUUUGAAUGAAUUAAAAAAAAAUCCUAUUUUUUUUCUCAUAAAUACCUAAGUUUCUUACACCAUUUCUCACAUACUUUUCACCAUUCCGUACUAUCUUACCUCAUUUUAUUUCAAUUCUUCACAUUCUAUUCUCUUACCUCUUCCAAUUAAUCUUUCCUUUAAUUAUUUCAAAAAUUUUCAAAUGACCACAUCUGCAAUGAAAGGAAGGGCUUGGACCUAAAAAGAAGAUGAAGCUCUUUGCAAGGCUUAUGGAUGGGUCUCUGAAGAUAGUGUCAAGGGUAGUUCUCAAACAAGUGAAGGCGUUUGGACUCGUACAUCCAAAAAGUACUAUGAGUUCUACGAAGAUAUCACUCCACCGAAUCCCCGGAACCACGAGAGUUGUUCUUCAAGAUCGAAAACAACACAAUCUUCAUCCUAGUACUACUUGGGGGAGUUACAACAUUAAACAAAAAUAGAUCAGAAUGACACGAAAAUCGUCUCUAAUCGAGGGCUAGGCCAAAGGGCUUGUGGGCCCCACUGGUCCAAAACCCCCAAAUCAAGCUAGUGGGCUGGCCAUUUCCAGCCAACCAACCAGCCUUCCAGCGCCAGAAUGUCAAGAUUAACAUUUUGCCAACUCUCCAGCGCCAAAAUGUCAAGCUUGACAUUUUGCCAGCUCUCCAGCUCAUCCCAUUUAAAUGUCAACGGCUACCUGGCGUCAGUAUGACGCCAACUAACAAUUACUAGCUGAUAUCAUGUUGCCGUCAGGUUACCGUUGGAAUUUGAUUUUUUUUUUUUGGACUGAUUUAAAAAAAAAUAUCUAUUUUUUUCCUAUAAAAACCUAAGCCAUUACUACACCAUUUCUCACAUAUUUUUCACCAUUAAUUUUUUUCCUAUAAAUACCUAAGCCAUUACCACACCAUUUCUCACAUACAUUUCACCAUUUUAUACUAUCUCAUCUCAUUUUAUUUCAAUUCUUCACAUUCUAUUCUUUUACCUCUUCCAAUAAUUUUUCCUUUAAAUUUUUCAAUAAUUUUCAAAUGGUCACAUCUUCAAUGAAAGGAAGAGCUUGGACCCGAAAAGAAGAUGAAGCUCUUUGCAGGGCUUAUAGAUGGGCCUCGGAAGAUAGUGUCAAGGGUAGUUUUUAAACAAGUGAAGGUGUUUGGAUCCGUACGUCCAAAAAGUACUAUGAGUUCUACGGAGGCACCACUCCACCGAAUCCCCGGAAUCACGAGAGUUGUUCUUCAAGAUGGAAAACAACACAAUCUCCACCCUGGUACUACUUGGGGGAGUUAUUCUAACUUAAACAACAUUAAACAAAACAUUUAACAACAUAAAUUUUAGGGAAUCUCCAACCGACCUAGUCAAAGGGCUAAAAAUAGCUCAGAAUGACACGAAAGGUGUCUCCAAUCGAGGGCUAGACCAAAGAGCUUGUGGGCCCCAUCGGGCAAAAACCCCAAAAUUAGGCCAAUACGCUGGCCAUUUCCAGUCAUCCAGCCAUCCCUCUAGCGCCAGAAUGUCAAGCUUGACAUUUUGCCAGCUCUCCAGCUCAGCCCAUUUGAAUGCCAACAACUACCUGGUGUUAGCAUUAUGCCAGCUAGCAACGGUUAGCUGAUGUCAUGAUGUCAUCAGGUUAACGUUGGAUUUGGAUUUAUUUUUGGACGAAUUUAAAAAAAAAUUCUAAUUUUUUUCCUAUAAAUACCUAAGCCAUUUCUACAUCAUUUCUCACAUACUUUUCACCAUUCCAUGCUAUCUUACUUCAUUUUAUUUCAAUUCUUCACAUUCUAUUCUUUUACAUCUUCCAAUAAUUUUCCUUUAAUUUUUUCAAUAAUUUUCAAAUAGCCACAUCUACAAUGAAAGGAAGGGCUUGGACCCGAAAAGAAGAUGAAGCUCUUUGCAGGGCUUAUAAAUGGGUCUCGGAAGAUAGUGUCAAAGGUAGUUCUCAAACAUGUGAAAACGUUUGGACUCGUACGUUCAAAACGUACUAUGAGUUCUACGAAGACACCACUCCACCGAAUCCCUCGAACCACGAGAGCUAUUCUUCAAGAUGGAAAAUAACACAAUAUCCAUCAUAGUAUUACUUGGGGGAGUUAUGCAACAUUAAACAAAACAUUUAAUAAUAUAAAACUUAGGUCAUCUCCAACUGACCUGACCAAAUGGUCAUAGGGCUAAAAAUAGCUCGGAAUGACACGAAAAACGUAUCUAACCGAGGGUUAGGCCAAAGAGCUUGUGCGCUCCACCGGGCUAAAACCCCCAAGUCAGGCCAGUGGGCUGGCCAUUUCCAGCCCACCCUCCAGCGCCAGAAUGUCAAGCUUGACAUUUUACCAACACUCCAACGCCAGAAUGUCAAGCUUGACAUUUUACUAGCUCUCCAGCUCAGCUCAUUUGAAUGUCAACGACUACCUGGUGUCAACAUGACUCCAGCUAGCAACGGCUAGCUGAUUUCAUGUUGCCGUCAGGUUACCAUUUGAAUUUUUUUUUGACGAAUUAAAAAAAAAACAAAAAAUCUAAUUUUUUUUUCCUAUAAAUACCUAAGUCAUUCCUACACCAUUUCUCACAUACUUUUCACCAUUCCAUACUCUCUUACCUCAGUUUAUUUCAAUUCUUCACAUUCUAUUCUCUUACCUCUUCCAAUAAUCUUUCUUUUAAUUUUUUCAAUAAUUUUCAAAUGGCCACAUCUGUAAUGAAAGGAAGGGCUUGGACUCGAAAAGAAGAUGAAGCUCUUUGUAGAGCUUAUAGAUGGGUCUCGGAAGAUAAUGUCAAAGGUAGUUCUCAAACAAGUGAAGGUGUUUGGACUCAUACGUCUAAAAAGUACUACGAGUUCUACAAAGGCACUACUCCACAGAAUUCCCGAAACUACGAGAGUUAUUCUUCAAGAUGGAAAACAACACAAUCUUCACCCUAGUACUACUUGGAGGAGUUAUUCAAACUUAAACAACAUUAAACAAAACAUUUAACAUCAUAAAACUUAAACGUCUACUCCAUUAAUUUUUUUUUUUGCCCAAAGAUGUGGAAUAAGAUUAUGUUGUAGGUACUUAUUUGUAGCACGCAAAUGUAUCAUCAUAUGACACCUCAUGUACUCAUUUAAAGAGAUAUUACCAAUUAUUGGAUCCAAAGACAAAUUAGGCCCAUCAUAUAUUUUCGCAUCAGCUGGGGAGACAUAGGCCAACAUUCGAAGUGCAAUAGUAAACUUUUGAUGAGAUGAGAAACUUGGGCAGCCUGCUCUAUCCAUCUUCUGUUGAAAGUAUGGAUUGACAUGUUGGAUAUCAUGAAGUAAACGCCCGAAGACACGAUGCCUCAUUGGGAAGCGACGUCUGAAAUCCUCUUCUGUGUACAUCGAGUUGGAGUUGAAAUAGUUGUUCAUCAGUGUCUCAUGCGUGAUCUCUCUAUUUCGUGAUUUGUAAGAGUGACCACCAACAAAGCCACCCCAUUGAGGUUGUUCUUAAGUUUCCUCACACACCAAUGACCCCAGCCCUUGCUGCCAUAUAUGUUGUGUUGCGCCAUGCUUCAUUUUCUUCAUCGGGCUCCUCAUCUUCUCAUCUCAUAUGCGCCCAUUUAUCUUCCUAUCCGAAAAAUUAUUAAGAUUACAUAAAGAUAAGAAAUAUGAAGAGUUACUAAAGUUAUAAAAUAAUGGAUUAUGUUUGGCCUAUGGUCUUUUGGCCCCCUCGGUUGGAGAUAUUUUUUGUCAAAUGACUAUGUUUGGCUUAUGACCCUUUGGCCCCCUAGGUUGGAGUUGGUAUAAAAUAUGGCAUGAAAUAGUUCAUUAAAAUAUAAUUCCUUGCAGAGCUGUAGGGUUAAAGGGAGCCAUUUGGCUCUCCUUCGGUUGGAGAUGGCCUAAGAUAGCUGUAUGGUAGGAUGCACAUAUGAAAAAAAUAAUAAUAGACAAUUGGCACUUUUUUAAAGGUACUUCAAACCAUAAAAUUUCACGAGGAAAUAACUUUUGAUGAUAUCUCUGAGUUUAAAUUUCAUGGUUGAUGAUUAUCAAAUCAACUGAAAACUUUAAAGAGGAAUAAAGCUUUGACAAUUUAGAUUUGAGACUAAUGCGAUGCAGCAUGUGCUUAUAACUCAAGUGGUUAACAAUUUAAAUUAUCAUCUACACUUAUGUGUUUGAAUCUUUCGAGCAUGUUUACUUUUUAAAAAUGCGUAUUCUUACCAAACCUUAAAAAAAAAAAAAAAAAAAACCAUCUACAGUUCUCUGGUUGAAAGUUCCUGGAUGUGUGCCUUUUAACAGUAGCUAUAGCCUUUUUCCAGAUCCAUUUCCACCUAAUUCACCAAGUUCGUGAUCUGGAUCGUUGAAAUUUGAUCAAACGGCUACAAACAAAGAGCCUCUUUAAAAAUUAUAAUAACAGUAGCCGUUAUAUCAAAUUUCAACCGCUCAGAUUGCGAUCUUAAUGGAUCAGGUGGAAAAGGUUGGACCUCAUUAGGAUCAGGUGGAAAAGGUUGGGCCUCUUUAGGGAUUAGUCAUACUUUUUAAGGUUUGAGAUACCUCAGGCUUCGGCAUAAAAAAGAACAAAAAGUAAACAUGCCAGCAAAGUCUAGAAGUGAAACGCUGCGUUGAACUCUAGAAGAUUAGAUUGCGGAAAGUGCUGUCACAGUCAGCAAAGUCUGGUUGGCUCGGAGCUUCUCAAUCUCUCUGCAGUGGCUGGUCCAGCUUUCGUAAGACUCUUAAUUUUGUUCUUAAUUUUUGCUCUUUGAAUUGCUUGAAUCAAUGAAUCCACCCUCAACAUUUGACGCCCAUUAACUGUUCGAUGAAAUGCUGCUUCGAAUUUGAUAUGAUUGGUAGUGUGAAUUUUGAAUCUUUGGCUACUAUGAAUCUACGAACUCAAGCUUAACAUUUGAUGCCCAUCAUCUGUUUGAUAAAAUGCCGCUUACAUAAUAGCCUUUGAAGAGCAUUGGGUUUAUUCCAGUUUCCGUUUUGGUUGUAGCUCUGGCCAAAGUGAGCUGCCAUGGCACCCCAAUUGUCAAACUUUAGUCUUUCUGUGUAUGUUUGAACCUAAAUUCUAUGUGCAGAGAACGGACAUGUAUCGACGUUGUGGAAGUUGCAUCGAUGACCAUAACGGAUGUCCGGUCCAUACAAGCAUUUGAGUGAUUCGCACUUAAUUCUCCAGCAACUUAUAAUGUGCCAAUACUUAUUCCUUCAUUUAUAGAAACAAGAGGACAAGUGUGCUCAAAUUCGUAUAUCAUCCAUUUGAUAUGCUGUGAAGUCAUUGUGUUUUCGCUUUUCUUUCGGAAACUUAUGUCCUGCUUUAUCAAGUUACACCUGGAAGUUGAAUUCUUAUCGACUUGUAUCAUGCUUUAACUGUAAAGUUUGUGACUUGGAAUAAGCGAUGUCACCCUUCCCUCGGUUUUUUUAUCUAACAUGCUAAUCAUUUCUUUAGAGUCUAUAGAAUGCAGUGGAUGCAUGUUGAGUUAAUUUCAUGUGACGAUAAAACUAAGAUGCAUAAUUAGUUUAUACUGUGAUCUACAGGAAAUGAGAGUUCCGCGAAGUCUUGAGGUCUUGAGAAUGGGCUCCAUGAGCUAUCUGGAAGCACUUAAGCUGCAGGAAAAGCUGGUUGCUGAUAGAAAAAUUCAUAAGAUUCCAGAUACUCUAGUGUCCCUGCAACAUCCACCUACAUACACCCUUGGCAAACGACGAACUGAUCACAAUCUGUUGAUUCCUGAGACCGAACUCAAAAGAAUAGGAGCUGAACUGCACUACACACAAAGAGGAGGAGACAUUACAUAUCACGGUCCACAUCAAGCCAUUUUAUAUCCCAUUAUUGCUCUUCGGGAUAUGGGGCUUGGUGCUCGUAAAUAUGUGGAGAAACUUGAGUCAACUAUGAUUGACUUGGCAUCUCUAUAUGGCGUGAAAGCUUGUCCUGGAAAUAAAUGUGAAACGGGGGUUUGGGUUGGAGAUAGAAAAAUCGGAGCAAUUGGUGUACGGAUUUCAUAUGGAAUCACCUCUCAUGGGUUGGCAUUCAACAUUGAUCCAGAUUUGAACUAUUUCAAGCAUAUUGUGCCUUGUGGCAUUGCAAAUAAAGACGUUACAUCAUUGAGAAGGGAGACGGACUUAGCGCUUCCCACCGAAGAAGUAGUUCAGGACCAGUUGAUUUCUUGUUUUGCAAGACAAUUUGGUUAUAGUGAUCUUGUAUGGAAGGAUGCUACUUCAGUAUUGUCAGAGAGCGGGGAAACUGAAUGAGAUUCUACAAUUGUAUGCCAAAAACGAAUAAACGAUGUAAGUUUUAUACUCUUCCAUUCAUUUGUUUGUUAAAACAAUUGAUUUGAAAAUUGCCGGAUUUGUACAUCUUGUAUUAUAAGUAAUGUGGAGAACUAAGCUCAAGUGAUGAGGAAGGGUGGGAAAAUGGGUUUAAGCAUUUGACCACAUCAAAUGUAUCCGAAAAAAUGUAUUGCGAAAUUAAUCUGUUCAGUAAUUUCCGUUCUUGCUUCCUUUUUUUGUCAUCUUUAGCUGGUAAAUUGCUCCUAAUACAGGAUAGUAGCUUGUGGUGAAUCUAUGGUGUUGAAAACUCCUUUCAGCCUCUACACAAAUCCUAACUUGUUUGAUGAUAAAACCAUGCCCUUCCAAUUUGCAUGUUUUACUUCUUCUGUGCUAGGAUAUUUUGCACUAGUAGUCCCCGACUGCCCAUAGUUUCUAUCCCUAUGGUUUUUUCCUUGCAUUUUUUCGUCCUUAUAGUUUCAUUCCUGUCAAAAUGUGGCAAAAUUUCUUCCAAGUUGCAUCUUCAAAUUAGAAAAUGUUGACCAAAUGGAAGGAAAACUCUAACUUAGUUGACGGAUUGGAAUAAAGCAAAAACAUAACGAAAUUACGGGGACGGAAAUGCAAGAAACAAACUUCAUGAUGAUAAUCCUACAGACAGAGAUCUUCUCCCGAUCUCACUGUCCAGAGCUGAAGGAUCAGGUGAUCUUGACCACUCAAAUUGAAUUCAAUGGCCCCUAUUAACUCAUUAUGCUGGCCCACCUCACACAAACCUACGACUCCGAUCUCUCUUUCACACAAAUCGAAGACUCAAAUUCUCUAGUCCUAAAGCUUCGGACAUCAAAAUCCGGAGAGCAUCCAAAUUCAUAUCAUAGUCCAGUUGACAGACCACAUGCUCUCUUUUUUACCUCUCCAUAAAGAUUCUUUAAUCCACGUGUACUUCUGAAUCAAUCAAGCAAAUGGAAAUCUUCCAAAGAAAAAAACUUGACCAGAUUUAUUCAGCAUACAACUCUCAGCAGUUUCAUUGACCAGAUGUUACUCAAAUAACUACAAUUUCCUUCUUCAACCUCCUUCACUAAUUGGUCUUCUGUCUAUACCACGUGAUACGGGCCAAUGACAUGGCUGAUAUAUCUUAUUUUUAGGGUAUUUUAUUAAAAAAAUAAAUACAUUUUUAUAGUUUGAGUAGUUUAAUAAUACUACCUGACAGUGUUCUGAUACAUCAAAACAUCUCUAGAUACGGAAGAAGAAGUUAAUUAUAAAAAUUUGAUGAAAACAUGAUCAAUAAUAGGAGUCUUAGGAGUCGAGAUCAUCUCUGGAUUUCUGUGUCCAGAGUCCAAGAACUCAGAGAUCUGGAUAGUUAAAGAGAGAGAAAGAGAGAUCCGAACACUUGGUUUAUGUGAGGUGUGCCAACGGAAUGGACCAAUGAGGAUCGAGUGAUUUAAAAUGAGUGGUUUGAAUUUUCAAGUUUGUCGGCUUUGGACUCAAGGAUCCGAAGAUCUCAAUUCCAAUAAUAGCACAAAACUAUUAUAAAUAAGGUGUAGAUUAUAAAUUUAUAUUGAUCCCAAAUGGGACUAAUUAUAUUUCAGUGUAAGACUAAUCCAAAUCACAUACUUUAAUAAAAAUAAAUAAAUCAUGGCUAUAUUAGAAAAUGUAUGAGUCAGCUUGAUGGAGUGAUGGGGCUUGGGCAAGUUGAUAAUGGUACUAAAAAUAAAUUGCUCUCUUACUGCUAAAAUCCAUGUUCUCUUUUCAACCCAUUUCUGAAACCAAGAAAAACCAUGUGGCUUCCAAGGGGAAAGAACAAAGCUUAAUAUAAUGCAAGGCUAAGAAAACGAGGACUUUCUUACCAGAGUACGUACUUAAGCGGUUAAGAGUACUUCGCUUCUACACAGACUACACUUGAGAUGUUGUGUUUGGAAUUUUGUAUCUGCCAUUCUAAGUAGUGAUUGCAUCAAGAAAUAUCUUAAGAGAAUUGUGUGGGAUAAAAUGAGUGUGUGGAUAGCAUUAUCAUUUCUAUAUAAAUGGACAGCUAGGUUCAAUUGUUUUAGUUGAAACCAUCGUAUAUGACAAUCUACGUGAUUCUGUAUUUCUUGAGAAAGGAGCUUAGCUUAGCAUAUGUGAAAACUAAGUACUAAUUUGAACGGAUUCUUUAGUGUGAUUGUAACACAGGACAGUACACCACAUGUCAUUAUACAAUUAGAAGAAUAUUUUUAUUUCAAAUGUUCCUCCAAUUAUAUAAUGAUAUAUAAUAUACCGCCUCAUAUUUCAACCACACUAAAAAAUCUCUCACUAAUUUAGAAGGAUAUAAAUAAUAGAUGAAGAAAAAGAAGAUCGGGAAACGUAAAAGUUGGAGGAACAGAAGAGAAGAUGACAGUUCGGUGGAAGAUUAUGGUUGUUUCACGUUUGGAAAGCAAGAUUACACAGCCAUGUUUAGCUGUAUGUUUGUAAUUGUACUACUACUUAAUAUACUAUAUUAGGGUUCGAUUUGGUCUCAUGUGACUCAUCACAUGAACAAAAUAUAUUCAAGUUCUGCAGAUAAGUCAUUGAAACUGACACAACUCACUCAGACUCACAUGAUCAGCUGCUUCCUAGUUCUCACCUGCUGCACGAAAUAUCUCAAAAGGCCAUGUUACUAAGACUAAGAGAUACUGUAGGGUUUUCUAUUAGCAAUAUUAUAGUGUUGGUCACAGACGAUACGAUCAUCGUGCGUUUUAACUUUUUCAUAUAUUAGUAUUGAGAUUGCUCGAAAGUUAUCUUACAUUGUUGAUUGUGGGUCAUGUUAGUAAGACUGAGAGAUACUGUUGGGUUGUCUACUAGCAAUAGUAUAGUUUUGGUCACAUACGAUGCGAUCAUCGUGCGUUUUAGCUUUUUCAUAUGUUAAUGUUGUGAUUUCUUGAAAGUUAACUUACAUUGUUGAUUGUGGGCCAUGUUAGUAAGACUUGAGAGAUACUAUGUACUAGCAUAGCAUAGUUUUGGUCACAGACGAUAUGAUCAUCGUGCGUUUUAACAUUUUCUUAUGUUAGUGUUGAGAUUUCUAGAAUGCUAUCUUACAUGGUUGAUUGUGCGAACUUGACGAUUGGUACUGUAACUUUACGUUUUAUUUAACUGCAACAGCGACGGUCUUGUGGCUCUCAAGUGGCUAAAAGUGUUGGUUCUUAUAAGUUGUAUUGAGGUUUUGUAACAUCCCACAUCGUUCAGGGGAAUGAUCCUUAAAUGUAUAUUUCCAUCCCUAUCUAGCAUGAGGCUUUUUGAGAGCUCACUGGCUUCAGGUUCCAUAGGAACUCUAAAGUUAAGUGAGAAGGAGGCUAGAGCACUCAUAGGAUUGGUGACCUACUGAGAAGUUGUUCGUGAGUUCCCAAAAAUAAAACCGUUAGGGCGUAGUCGGGACCCAAAGCGGACAAUAUCGUGCUACGGCGGUGGAGCGGGCCCAAGAAGUGGUUCGCCCCGGGCGAGGAUGUGACAGGUUUUGUGUUCGGAUCUUCUCUAUAUAACAUUUCUUAUAUCAACAAAAGAAAAACAAAUCUCAUCUAAUGUUGUUAAUGUAUUGACUUUCAAGACGGAUUCGAUUGCCGGAGUUUAUGCAUUUAGGGAAGAUAAAAAGUGGUUCGAAGUGUUCAAACCGGCCAAAUCGGAAACCAAACUAGUCCAUGUGGACCACAUCCUAACAAUGUUGGUUAUGGUAGUGUAUCUGCCAUUUGUAUUAAAGUUCGAAAAACCUUAUCAUAAGUUAGGGUAGAUUAGAAUAUUUCUGCCUUAAGAGAAGAGAUUAAAAAGAAAAAUAUUUGGCCACCAAAUAGGAUCAUGGCAGAGAAUGUUACUUGAGUUUAGAUUGUCUUGUAAGAAUUCUUGCAACCUUUUUCUCAUCCUACAAUGUUAUAUAAUAAUUUGAACCGUCAAUUUUUAUGUUAUCUUUAAAAAAUCAUCUUUCUAAAAGGAUUAAUUAAAUAUGAAGUUCUUUAGUCAUCUAACAAAUGCGACUAAACAUUUAUCUAAUAAACAAACUAUAUUUCUCAUUUAAACCCUAAAAUUUCAACAAUGAUAAUCAAAAGUUUCAAUCAUUUUUAACGUAGUUGAUUUUUUUUUCAAAAUUGAUUCUUUAAGAAUGAGAGAAAUUAAAGGCUCGUAUAAGAAUGUUUUUAAGAGCUGGUUUGAUAUUGCUGUGCUUUGAAAAAAAGCUGCUUUUGUUGUGCUAUGAGAAUAAGCGGUUAUGAAAUAAAGCUGUAGAGUGUUUGGUAAACUUUUUUGUAAAAAUGCUUUUGAAAAAAAAAAACAGUAUUAUAGUGUUUGGUAAACUUUUAUGUAAAACAGAUGUGAAAAAAACCGGUUUUUCAAAGCUAGGUUUUUCAUCUUCUUGUUUUUGGCUUUUUCUCAUCCAAAACUGUGAAAAAAAGCUGAAGUUGAAUGUUUACCAAAUACAAAAAAGCUCCCAGCUUUUUUUGAUACCAGCUUUUUUUAGAAUCACCUCAGUACCAAACCAGGCCUAAAUGACUGAAAAUGAUUUUAGAGAACGUAUUUUUUGGUUUCAAAACACUUAAAGUGUUCUUUUUAGAGUUCACUUGUUUUUUUAUUAAGGGUGAGUUCAAAAAAUAUUUUCAUCAACUACGAUUCAGCCAUUUCAAAAAUACUUCAAAACGAGCCAUAAAUUUUCCGACUUCAAACAACAUUACAAAUUAAGAAAGAAAAUUAAAAUGGUAAAACGAGAAAACGAGAAAAAUACAAAAUUUCUGUCCCGUUUUUAUGUUACAUUCAAUCUUUAAAACAAAUUACCAGUAACAUGCACCGCCAUUUUUGGGCUUCGUGAUAUGUAUAAGCUCUCUAGACUCUGUUCCUUCCAUCUCCCUUGUAUUUCUCUCCAUCACACCAUGAAAACCACUCACACAGUCCUACUCGCCAUCUUCUCCUUCGUUCUUCUGCACACUGUCACAUCUUCUUCCCCGCUGCAAACCCACCAGGAGCUGCUGCAGCUGCAAGUUCAUCCCAGACACAGAAACCAACCAAGAAGAUUACUGCUUGCUUCUGCAGUUGCUUCCUUCUCUGCAAAUCCAAAGAAUCCCAGCAGCAGCAAAGCAAUGGAAGAUCCCAAGAAAUAUGUGGAGGCUAGCUUAAGGAAGUCUCCACCCAGCAAAUCGAAUCCGACCCAGAAUCGGUAAACUGGUCGAUAUUCGUGUAGGGAUCCCAAAAUAGAAAGAGAAUGAAAUUCCACAAUUUUUGCAGAUUUUUCUCAAUUUUUUAACUGUUGUAGAGGUAGAAAGUCCAGAUCUUUAUUCAAUGUUUUUGUAUGUUCUUCUCUAUUCGUUUAUUUUGUUAGUUUUGUGCUAAUUUUUUUGGGUUGUUAGAGUUAGAUUUAGGAGGAGAUGGGAAGAAAUUGUAUGUACUGAAGAACCCUGUAAGGAUUUGUUAGAAAGAUUAUUGAUUUGUUCGAAUUUUUGCAAUUGCCAAAAUGGAAGUUUUCGCAUUUCAAUCCUUUUGCUACUGUUUUAUAUAGCCCAUGUAUGCAAUUGAUCUAACUUUAUUUUACUUCUUGCUGUUGCGAGUUCUCGAAAUGUAUCUAUUUGCCAUUUUCUGUGUCCGAGGGCAAAUAUGAGUUCUUUGUGUCUUUAGAGACGCUUAAUGCAGUGAGUUUGUUAUUAUCUUCCUUGAAAUCAUGGUUAUCUCCAAGAAAAGAAAUUCUGUAUGUUCACGUUUAUUGAUUGGAUCGGUUACUAGCACAAGUGCCUCCUGCUGAAUUUGUGUUUUGGAACUUUAGAGUAAAGGUUCAGGUAUAUGACUUGUAUUUUGUGAAAUGAUAAGGUACAUGGAAAACUGCUACACACUGGUUGCUAUUGCUGUGUUAUUUUUGUUGCAUUCGUUGAUGUUUUACAAAAUUCAUACAGGUAUGAUAAUGGAUCCUUUAAACCACUGGUAGAGUCAGAUUGAAUGACCAACAGUGGUUAGCAUUUGUAACUCAAUGAUUGUCCCGUUGCUUUCCUUAUAUUUUAUGCAGGGUUGAAGGUCGAAUUUGGAGUUUCGAGUUAUUGUGCAACUGACUUACAAACAUGGUAAAUAUUUUAACUAGUUUCUUAACCUAUGAAAUCUUUAAUGUUCUGCAAGUUCAGUCCUUGAGCACCCGUGCUUCAUUCGGUCUGGAAAAUGUCUCGAUAGGCCAUUAGCUCUAUGAAUUCACAUGGUAUUUCUUUUAGCAGCCUGCUAUUGUAGUUCAACUAUUGAGGUACUAUUGCUGGUAAGUCCAAGACAUGUUCUUUUAAAUAGCAUUGAAGAAUUUUCAGAAUUAAAUCUCUUUCUUUAAUUAAUUAUUAACUCAGUUUUUCACAGAAAAUAAAUUAUUGUAUGGUUACAGAUUUAGUGAAUACAUUUGUCACAGAUUACAUAAUUUUAAGCACAUAUUAUUGGUUGUAUCUCAAAAUUUUGAUGUCAAACAAAGAUCUUUCGUUCUAAUAUGAGGCCGGGAAGUGUGGUUUUAAUUUAGUUUUAACAAAUAAUGAUAUUUUUCAUGUUCUUACCUUUCUCGUUAAUCUGCUUGUUCAUUUGUAGUAUACUUUGUUUAUUGCUGAGUUAUUGCUGUCACCAAUUUUAAGAUUAAUGCUGUACUUGUUAGUGUGUUAAUUAUUUACGAAAUUUGAAAAUGUUACACCAGGUCCCAAACUCUUUAACAAUGAAAAGGGUUCUCUGAGUAAUACAAUGAUAAUGUGAGAAACACCGUCUAAUCUGGUCACCUCAUGUACACGGCGUCUAUAUGAAGCAUUUAACAAGCUGGAAAUAAAGAUAGUUCUACACGUGUAGUAAAUGCGUUUGAGUGAUGUACACGUAGUGAAUGAACAAGAAAAUCCGCCGGUUACAUUGAUUUUCACCAACUCUUCCUGAGGAUUAUAUACCCUUAAGAAACAAAUUUCCUCGUAGUAUUCGCCCUGUAGGAUUCCUCUGCAAACUUCACAGUCUUAGCUCCUUUUCCUUCUCCUUAGAAAUUCCCUACAUAAAGAUGAGAAUUCGAAAUAGCCGGUCAAAUUUUUCGCAGAUGACUCCACCUGAGACCACACCCGGGGCUGCUCAUCUUCGUUCACCAGAAGGUUCAGAUGAUCGCUUUUUAGUUGAAGAAGAGAAUCGGCGCAUUGGAUGGUCCUGCCAUACAAAAAAACAAUUUCCUGCUCAAGUUUCAAGUGAAGAUCAAUUGCAUGAUGAAUUGGAAGCAGCAAGCAGUACAGAAAUUAGGCCCUUGAACUGUGUUGAUAAGGGGAAAGAUGUGAAACAUUGCAUGCAAAUGGAUACAAAUCCGGUAAUUAGUCUUUUACUCAAAAUUUCAUUUUUCACUUUAGGAAUUUGCGAUUUGUUGAAUUUGCCCACGAUCAAUUUUGUUAUUGUUUAAUUUAGCGUGUUCUUGUCCAAGGUUCAUCGCAUCUGAAAAGUUAGGGCAACUAGUCAAGAUUUACUUAAUGUUUUAGAAGGUAUGAUUUUAAUGUUAUUUCAUAUUUAGGCCUCAGAGGGGCAGAGCGAAGGAGAAGCAGAAAAGGGGAAACAAUUUACUGCAUGUGCUGGUUCUCAGGGGUAACUUAUUUCUUGUCCUUUCUCAUCUCUCGAACCUGCCGAAAUGUUUAAUUGCCAUUUAUCUAUUCUAAUUUUGAAAUAUAGAUACUUAUCUAAUCUGCAAUUUUGAGAUAUGUGAUGAAUACAUAGUUACAUACACAUCCCUAUCCGCGUUCUCUUGUGAUAGGACAGAAUUUCCAGAUCUGUUUAUUUGUAAUUUAAAUAGUCAUAAAUUGAUAGUGAAAGUAAAAUUUUCCAUUCACUUACUGAUUUCUACAAAGAAGUUCAAUCUGAGAUCUAUAAAAUUGAAAUAACUGUCUUUUUGCUGCAGGGGUGGAGAAAACGUAACUUCUCCAGUUACAGCUGGGAUCGCUCGUCCUUGUUCUUUUUCGCAUCUAGGUAAACUACUUCUAUUAAAUUAGAUUCCUCAUGGAGACCAAGUCUUGAGGGUAACUUUUCAGUGAAUUUCUUGUUGGUUUAAGAGAUUUGAUGGUCAUAAUGGUCACAAUUAGUUCUUAUGAUUGGGUUGAAAGGAAUCCGAGUACUAGGGGUUCAUUGUGGAGUAAAUGAGUACAUGUCUUAUAAAGAGUCAUAUGAUGCUAUUAUAGGGGAAUGUAAUGAUAGCUAAAGCCAUCAUGUGUGUGUAAUUGCUCAGUGAACAUCAGUCAGCAUGUGAUGUAUUUCAGCUCAAUUGUUCUAGUUGCAUUUAUAGAUUAUAUAAGUAUCAAUCGAAGUACAUUAUGGCCUUUAGAGGUGACAUGUGCAAGGCACUAACAUAAAAGUGUCUUAGACUGAAGCUGCAUGUCGUUACAUGUCUUUUUCGCUCUAAGAUUUUCUUGUUUCAUUGGCAACUACGUGGAAAAUUUGUUGUUCUAACUUUUUAUUUUGAUUGGUGUUCUGAAUUAGGUCAGAAACUUCCGUUUAAGAAAAGAAGACCUUAUAGUUACACAGAGACUGAAGUAGAGAUGGAAAGAGAGAAAGUAGAAGAUGUCUAUCUAGAAGUAAAAGUGGAAGAUGUGGUAAUGGAAGCAAAAGAAAAAUGCAUGCCAGUAGAAAUUGAAAAAGAAAAUCAUUUUGCAGAAGUUAAAGAAGAUGAGCCAGUUAAAGCGGAAGCUGAAGAUGCAGUAGCUGAUAAGAAAGAGGAAUCACUGGAGGAGGGCGAGAUACGAGAAGAAACUGCGGAGGAGACAGAAAAAAUAAGUGAGCUUGAGCUGGUCAAUGAAGGGUUGUAUGUACCUCAUCUGACCAUUGAUGAGAACCAGCAGGACAUCAAAAAUGAAGAACUUAAUCUAGAAGAGACAGCAGGUGAACCAAAUGAGAAGCCAAGAAGGGGAAGGAAAACGCCUAGAUCUAGUGCUAGCACUAGCAGUGAUGAGCCUCAUCAGUAAGUAUCCCUGUAUGAAUACAAAAUACCCCUAUUUAUGCUUUCAAGUAUGAAAAAUGGUAUGACUUUCACUGCUAUGGAUGUUCUGUUUUUACCUUGAUGUUUCACAGAACUAAUGUUCUUGAACUUUGCUUUGAUGGAAUUGUAUGUAUGUAUAGAAUCACUACAUAAAGUUCUUCCAAUCCUUUAAUAUUCGAAAAAUGAAGGUUUUUUCAUUUUUUCUUUUUCUUUCUUGGCCAGAGAGAAAAGAGUCUGAAAAAGCACAUAUAUAUUAUCAUUUACGGUUUUAUGUACUGUAAUUCAUUUAGUUAAGGACAGUGUUGUUUUUUUUAUUCUACUGAGACAGAGUGAAUUUUGAAAGUCAAAGGCAACUGUAUAUAUUCAUGAGAUGUUCAAUUGCUCCUUCAUCUCCGUCCAUUUAAUUGUAUUUCUUCAUGAUACUCGCACGCUUUAUGUGUGAUGAGCAUGUUUGUGUAUGGUUUCCUAGUGGGUUUGGAGAAAAUUAACAAAUCUGACUAUGAAGUAUGAACACACAGGGGAAGGCAGAAGCUAAAGAGAGGAAGUCCAAAGAGGAUGCAAGAUCCAGCUGAGGAAAAUCAAGGGUUUCUUCACAUCCCUCCCUCCCCCUAUAUUCUCUCCCUCUCUCUCUCUCUCUCUCUCUCUCUCUCUCUCACGUGUGUGUGUGUUUGGACAUGGAUUUGUGAGAUGGACAUGUGUUUUGGAUACAUUUUUAUGUGUUGUGUGCAUGCAUAUAUCCUCUACCUGCGGACAUAAUCAACAACAAUACUUUCACUAUGAAGGUGUGUAGAGAAGCGGAAGCCAUUAAGAGGUUGCCCCAACAGGGGUAAAGAGGAAUCAUCUCUUUCAAACAAUAGGUACCCAAGAAGAGGUCGCUCCCAGAGGGACACAGAGGAGUCCUUUCCUUCAAACAAUAGGAAGCCAAGAAGGGGUCGCCCCAAGAGGAGCACAGAGGAAUCACCUCAUUCAAACAAUACGUACCCAAGAAGAGGUCGCUCCAAGAGGGACACAGAGGAGUCCUUUCCUUCAAACAGUAGGAAGCCAAGAAGGGGUCGCCCCAAGAGGAGUGCAGAGGAAUCACCUCAUUCAAACAGUGGGUACUCUCUAGAUACAGGGGAGUCAUCUCCUUCAAACAAUAGGAAGCCAAGAAGGGGUCGCCCCAAGAGGAGCACAGGGAAAUCACCUCAUUCAAACAAUAGGUACUCUUUCUCCCUCUCUCUCUCUCUCUCUCCCUCUCUCUCUCUCUCUGGGUUAGAAAUCUGUAACUAAAUAUUUAAUAAAACAGGAAUGCCGAAAUGCCAAAGCCUAAGAGGGGAAGGCCAAAGAGGGUGAAGGAGUAACCAGCCAGCCAGUUAAUGUAAAAACAUAGUGACUCCUUCGAAAUGUCUUAUAUCAUUGUAAGACUUUGGUAGAGUUUCUCUAUGUGUAAUAAAUAAGUCUGUAGUUUGCAAGUACAUUUAUUUGCCUUAGUCUUUUAGGAUUUAUGUUUGAUGAUCUAUAACAGAAAAGACCCAAGUGAAAGCUGAAAACUUUGUGUAGUGCCUAUUACCAAUGUGUCAAUGCAAUAUGCUAUUUUUAAUUAUCUUGCUACCCUUAUUAUAAAAGUAACAGAUAUCAUUGGUGGGAAUUUAUUGCAUCACCUUCAGUUUCAUCUUUGUUGUAGUUGACUGACUUUAUGCCUAACACAUUUUUCAGUUUCAUUUGUAUCCUGGUUACCUAUGAUACAUGGUAGGCAUUAGAUCAAAAAAAUGUUUUUGAGUAUAUCAGGAUAUUCAUAUAACAAAUAAAUUGAAAAUUGCUAUAUUAUUUAUAUCCUGAAUAUAUUCAAGAACAUUUUUUUUCCCAGAAAAUUACCGUCGAGUGAAUUAUUUAUGCAUCUACAUUUUUUCCAGCAAAAGCAUUAGUAAUUGACAAUUUGACAGGUCUUCUUUGUGUAAGCAAUCUCAUGUUUAUCUGUAUGGCCAAUUUAGGCAUCAAAAUUGUUUAGUUUUGGUGCAUUAAACUCUUCUAUGACUUGUCCUAUGUCUUCUGUGUAGAAAUUUUCAUCGAAACAGCCUGAUUUUCUUACAGGGAAGCUUACAUGCUAUCCUUAUUAGGUUACCUAAUAUGUAGAAUUGCCAUUUCAUAUGAAAUUUAUGACUUAUAUCUGCUAGGAUUUUCUUCUAUGUCUUCAAUGGAAAUUAGAUAUAUCAAAAUUUAAUGACAUCUAGUCUCACAUUUAACUUUUACUCUUUUACACUUUACGGGUUGAGAGGCACCGUGUAGCCUAGUAAGGUGAGAGGUUGUGUCAGGCCAUCCACCAGGUGUAAGCCAUGUAGAAAUUUUAGCUUAAAAUGCAGUUUACUGAGUAUAAAUUUCUGUUUCUUUCUGUCUUUAUGUGAGUUUCUAGGUCUUUCCCUUGUGCUCAUCUCUUGCUAGACAUUGAUUUUUCCUUCAGAUUCACUAGUUGAAACAACAAUCUUUUAGGAAUUGCGUUGUAUACAACGAGAUCACAUUGCCUCAGGUGUAUUUUCUUUGUUUUUAUCAUAUUUUUUCUUUGGUACUCUUGGAUAAUUUGAAAAUGAGAAUCAGGGGCAGACGGAUUGUCAAAACUCCUCCUCCUCCUCCUCCAACUAGCUCAGUUGGUUCAUCAGAAGAUCCCCCAGCACAGCAAGAUGAGCAAGAGGUAUUAUCGUUGCCCUUCAAUGGUGCUAUUUUUAUGUCCUACCAAAGAAAUCUGCAUGAUCAAUCAAUUAAAGAGGUAAAGAGGGGUUCAGAUGUGCGAAUCUGUUGCGAUUUUAAAUUCAGAUGUGCAAAUCUGUUAAGAUUUUAAGUUGUUUUUAUGUUAAUUGAAUAAACCAACCAUCAAUUCACAGGUAAAGAAGGAUUCAGGAUGUGAAAAUCCGUUGCAAUUUUAAGUUAGUUUUAUGUUAAUUGAAUAAAUCAAACAUUGAAUCACAGGUAAAGAGGGAUUCAGGAUGUGAAAAUCCGUUGCGAUUUUAAGUUAUUUUUAUGUUAAUUGAAUAAAUCAAACAUCGAAUCACAAGUAAAGAGGGAUUCAGGAUGUGCAAAUCCAUUUCGAUGUUAUGUUAUUUAUCAUUCUUGGGAAUCUCAGAUCUAGGUAUGACUCUUAAUCAAAGUCCUCUCAGUUUGUCGUUAUCAUGAUACAAAUUCUGCUCCACAAUCUCAGAUCGUGGUAUCCUUGCCUACAUCUUCAGAUCUAGGCAACACCAGUAGCCUCAUCAGUUUGUUGUUAUCAUGCACUAAUUCUGUUCAUUCUUUUUUAUAGGACACUGCAGGAGGUUUAACUGAAGAUGCUUAUAAGGAGAUCUCCGAUUCCUAUGUUACUCCAAGGUAAAUUAUUUUCUUAAUGUAAUUUUGUAGAUUCAUUGAGCAGGGCGACAUCCCCAUGACUUGUAGGCUUGAACUUGACAGUGAGACAGUGUCGUCAUCUUUCAUGUGUCCAUCUGAUUUAAUGAAGGGGGGUCAUCUCUACUCAACGUGUUACAUAAAUAUCAAAAUAAGGUUCCUGCGCACUCAUGCAGUACGCGCGUAAAAUUUAAAUUGUAUAGUAGUAACUUGAAACUGAUACUUCGAAGGACACUAUUUAUUUUAUCAUGAUUGUGAGGACAUUUGGAUGACUGUUUACACAUAUUGUUUACUUCAAGCGUUGUUAAAUGAAUUUCCUUUUUGGUGAUCAUACAGGAAGGGGAAAGUCUCGAAUGCAGUUGUACCUGCCCAACAGAUUGUAAUUGUAAUAUCUUCUGAUGAGGGUACGCCUUUUUUCGCUUUCUUUAAAGAGUUCAAGUAACGGUUAUCUGCAAAAUUAAUAAAUUUUGUAUCAAGCACUAAUUUAGAUAUAGAGAAUACGCUUUUGGAAACAUCUUUGUACAAAAUUCGUACACAGAGAGGAUCAGUGACUGCUAAACUAGGUGGACUUGUCUGCGUCAUUUAAUGGCAUUAUAAAGAUGCUAGUAAUAUGGUAAUUCUACAGAGAAAAGAAGUUCUUCAGAUUAUCGAAAACCGAUUUUUUUUUCUUUCUAAAACCCUUCAAAGCAUCAGUUAGCUCCUCAAAGAGUAGCCUACCCACUAUUAGUAUUAUUUUUAGCCUUCCCUUUAGGAUAUUCACAAAAUGCAACAGCCAAAAAGAAAGCGAUGUCGUUGGGUAACUUCCAUAGCCCUCCAUGACCCAGUGGAUAUUUGUUACAAUGGUGAUUUGCAAAUCAGGUUAGAUACAGAUCCCCUUGGCUCCCCAAAGUAGAAAAGAAGCAUGGAAACAAGGGUCACAUAUGAUAUCUUAUUCAAUGGAUAAACUUUGUCAAGAAAACACAUUUUAUUGAUGUUUAAGUCUUUUCCCAAUGUAUCGUUUCUGUUCUAAUAACUUCUGCAGAUUGUUUUGUUGAUGUACUUUGCUUAGUCUUGAGGAGGAAGUAUUUUGGUCUUGGCUUGCCUUGUACUUCAUGACGUUCACAUAUUAUAAUACCAUCUCACCAUUUUCACUCUAUGGAAAUGAUUUUGUUGAUAAAAUACGCAUAUUACCAUACUUUUUAGUGUCUUUCUCUUUGCUAGUAAUCUUCUCCUUGAGUUUUGUUCUUGCUUUAUUAUGCAUCAUCUACUUGAAACUUAUUUAAGAAGUAAAUACUAGAUUGUGAUCUCAAAGGCCGCAAGAUAUGAAAUUGCAAGAAAAUUAGCCGAGUGUUUGUUGUUGUUAUUAGGUUAUGUUUUGUCAAAUGCCGUUUCUUAUUGGAUUCUUAACAUGGAAAAGCAGAUGAACCUGCACUGAGAAGCAAGAAGGUAGACCCGGAUGAAGUCACCAGCAAAAGGAUCCGUAGGAGAAUAGACAGCAGGGAUGUCAAUAUGAGAAGAUCUAACUGCACACGUAAUGAGAUGACUCAGGUCGGACAUGCACGUGUACGCGCCUCAGGUGUGGCAAGGGCUAGGGGCAUGCACAGCAUUGUGCACAACCUAAUGCCUUCUCGUCCCAAAACUGAAGAGGAGCUCGUUAAGAACGUUUAUGGUGAGGCAAAGGCGGCACAAAGGAAAAGGGUCAGGCUUCUAAGAGAAUUCUAUGGUGUUUAGAAAAGCUCGAGGCGGCGAGGAACCUCACUUGGACUAAAGCAAUGGCUUUCUGAGUCGCAUGUUUUUCCGUUUCCUAGUGUCGUUGUUUUCGUCCGAGUUUGUUAAGGAAAUUUGGUUUGUUGGACUAAACGCCAAUGCUUUUCGGAGUUGCAUGUUUUUUUUUCGGUUUUGUAGUGUCAUCGUUUGUCUGAGAUUUGUCAAGGAAUUCUGGAUUGUUGGAUUAAAAUUUUUCUAUUCUGAUUUGGACUUGAAUUUCAUUCUAGUUAUCUUAUAGACAGGGGAUGCUAUGAUUCUAUAUGAACGAGUGUUCGACCUCGAGUGAUCUCCACAUGACUUGGAGUUUACUCUACCUUUGCCUCAGCUCCUACUUUCUCUGUAGUAUUGAAAACGGAUCGAGCUGAGGCAAGGGUUCAUAAUCUAAUGAGCCCACGAGUCCAUUUGGUCGCGGCAGCCAAUAUCCAAGCGGCUCGCCUUAAGAUGAAUGGGUGACCCGACUUGAAGGGAUGAAAUCGUAAAAAUACUAUGUGGACUCAACUAGUUAUGAUAAAGGAGAAGUAAUAGGUCGGUAAUACAAAUCAAUAAGAAGUCUUACACAAUAUGAUUACAAUUCUAAUAGAUAAUAUCUAAAGAAUGAUAUGGUAGAAUCUCACAAGAUAUCUCAAUAUUUAAUAGAAUUUACACGAUCACAUUCCUAGACCAUCGGAAGUUGUAUUUGAUGAGAAUCAAAACUAAGACCUCUCACUUACAAGUGAAGAAGAAUACCACUAAACCGUAGUACUAAGUGGUAAUAUUAUUAAAAAACUUAACACACUAAAAACACAAAAAAAAACUGCACUCAAUUUCUUGACAAAAUUUAGAAACCUUUGGAGAUUAUUGGCUGCCUGACCUCCUAAGUGGAAGAUUUAGGACGUCCUUUUCGUACCAUUAAUCUUGAGGGUGUUGACAAAUUGUCCAAUGUAGUGUUGGUGCAGUUUGUGAUCUCCAAAAACAGCUGCAGCUUUCCUUGCAUUGGAUCUCAGCUUCUCUCCUUGCUCUUCCACCAUUGCAUGCCUCAGUGUUUUGGCUAUGUCAUCUCUAGUAAACGACCCAUCUCCACGUCGACUCCCUUCGACAGCCACACCCUUCUCCUCCAAAAGCCUUGCAUUCAGAGGUUGAUCAAUGAUGAAUGGUAGCACAACAAGAACAUGCCCAAAUUGAAGUGUCUCAAUCACAGAUCCCCAUCCAGCGUGAAACAAAGAACCCCCAACUGAUGGGUGUGCCAAGAUUUCCAUCUGGGGCACCCACCCCAAGCAAACAAGCCCUUUCUCUGAUGUACGCUCAACAAACCCUAGAGGCAGAGCGUCGGCAUCACUAUUUGCCCAUUUGGGUUUUCUGAGUGCCCAAAGAAAAGGGAGUCCUGAUAGCUCCAGCCCAUGAGCUAUCUCAAACACUCGCUCUUUACUCAACUUACACUCACUCCCAAACCCUACAAACACAACUGACCUGGUUUCUUGCGUAUCAAGCCAUUCGAAGAUCGCAUCGUCAGUGGAAAUUUCCCUUUUUACCCCCUUUGAAGGUAUCUCAGGAGGCAGCAGACCAGUGGGAAUCACAAGCUUCUCAGUUUUGUUCUUGUAUGCCUCAAAGUACUCUCCUUCAAACUCAUUGCAACUCCGAAUGGCUACAGCUCGACAAGCUGAUAGAAUCUUGGCGUACCUUUCGCCGUCACUUAUCCCUGAACCAUUCACUCCAUAUAGUGCCGCGUGAAAAUGGACCGCCUCGUGCUCUCGGUAUGCGACAGUUGACCGAGAAGUGACCAAAUCUGGCGGCGAAGUAAGGGUUUCCAGCGGCGGGAGAACAUCAUUUGUUUUACCAAUGAAGAAAUUUUCAACUGAACGAAAAAGGGCAAUUGAAGCAGCAGAGAAAACAGAAAAAUAGACAAGUGGAACGCCGUACUCUUUGCCAAUCUCCACAACCCAAUGAGCAGCAAAGUCGGUUAUGAUCCAAUCAGGCAAUCGAUCCCCGAUGAACUGCUUGAUGGGUUUUUGCAGGAGGUCGUAUGCAAUCUUCAAGUUGUCAGUGUUUUCAAAGGGGAGGUCAACCGAGGCCUCAGCUCCUUCCGGCAAAAAGUCGGGAUCCAACGGUGGAAAUGGAACGGGGACCAAUUGCACAAAGGGUUGUAACUCUGGUAAGAUUUUGGGGAGUCUUUGGAUGUUUUUUGGUGUGGAUAUGAAGGAGACAUGAACUUUUUCUUUUGCUAAAGCUAUUGAAAGUUGGAAAAAAGGCAUCAUGUGGCCAAAGGCAGACCAUGGGAGCAUCACAACACUCAGAUGAUCAUCUUUUUCCAUAAUUUCUUUAUGGGGGAUGGAAUUUGCAAUGAGAGAAAUAACUUGUAGUUUUGAACCAGGUUGUCGGUGUAUUAGACUAUAUGACCUUCUGUAGCUUUGGGGAUUGUGCUACUCCUCCUCCUCCUGCCACAUGCUCGUGUAAGGUGUCCCGGGCAGCCAGCAUCGCCUGUUGAAUUGUUGGCAGCUCUCUCGCGUCGUUUUUGAUAAUCAUUUUAUUUUCAUUUUUUUAAAUUAAAAUUAAAAUCCUGUUUGGUAACUACUUUCAAAUGAAAACUGAAAACUUCCUUGAGUUUUUAAGAUUUUGCCUUGAGUUUUUACUUUCAAUUUUCAUCUUUUGAAAAUUGAAAGUUAAAAGUAACUACCAAACAAAGAUUCCAUGUUUUGAAAAUUGAAAACGAGUGGCUAUCAAACGGCCCCUCUUUUCUGAAACAAUCCUCACAUUGAAAAACGGCCCCUGUUUUUGCACUUUCACUAGUCUCUAUCACUUGAAGACUCGUGGUUUUUGUUUGAUCAUGGAGGUCUGUUUUCCAUCUUUUCCCCACUUAUGUCGCACUAAGAACAAGUUUGACAGCAUCUAGUUUCCAGCUGUAUCCGUCCUCUUCUUUGCAUUCACUUUUCACAUUUUCCAGCUACGAUGGAGGUUAAAGUGAAGACGUACGAGAUUCAAGCUCUAAUCUCGGAUGCAGAGGAAAAUUCUUCCAGCAACCCGAACUUGAAGUCUUUAUUUUCAUGCUCAUGAAGUACUUAGAAAGCUGACUUUAAGAAAAGACACGGAGUACUUGGAGUUAACGGAUGCCUUGGCACAAAACCGAGCACAGCAACAUUGUAGGAUUCAUACUACUGUUUCCAUGUAUUGUAAUAAGACUUUGUUGUUGCUGUAUUUUGCUUCUUGCCUUUUGUUCAUGUACCUUUCUGUAUGUUUCUUUUUGAGCCCUAUUGUUGAAUUUUGACUGUUAGACUUGAAUGGUUAGUAGGUGACACGCCCGACCCCGAUAUCCUCCAAACACUAGGGUAGGCACGUGCUGGCCGACACCCGAAGAUGACGAAGCCAUACUAACAUGCAUGAGAAGUAACAAACAUAAUUAAAACUUAUAAAUUUAAAUACAAUGAUUAUGCAAUUAUGGAAUGUGUUCAAAGCAUACAAUUAAUCCGAGACACUAGAAAUGAAUAAUAUAAAAUUGAACGAACAAAGGGAUGGGUCCUACACCUAGAGGACUCGAAGAUGCUGAUGUGAGAGUACCUUAAUACCGAGAUUGUACGCCUCGAUUCUAAGUCAUGAGAGGGCGCAAAACAAAACAUGAGUGAGCCAAGUUGAUAUAUAAGUAAUACUAAAACAGUUAAUCUUUAACGUACUAACCCCCAGGUUUAGAAAACUCAUAUAGCAUAAUAAGUAAUAGGUUUUUCCGAAAACCCUAGCAUGCCAUAAAACCUUCAUAAAACAUAUAUCGUAUAUAGUGUGCUUAGUGGCAUCAUAAUCGUCCGAAGGCACUACAUCGCCCACCCGAAGACAAUAUAUAAAUCUUCCGCCGAUAAACACUACAUCUCCCGCCCGAAGGCAAUAUAUAAAUAUGAAUAUCCAUUAAGUAAGCACAAAAAUCAUAAACAUAAUCUUUCCAAAAUAUAUCUCAAAUCGGAGCUCACUAACUAAAACGCCAUAUCGUAAAACCACGUUCCUAAGUAGGUAUAUAGUCAUCAAUCAUGUAUACCACAGAGCAUAAAAUCGAUAAAGCAUGAUAAUUCAUAAAGCGUGAAACAAAUUUACUCAAAAACGUUUCAUAAAAAAUAGUCAUAAAAUCAUGUUUUUCAUGUAUGCAUUUCUAAUAGUAAAAUCAUGCAUUUUAGAAGAGUUCCACCCACCUUACACCGUUGGCGAAGAGCCGUGCAAUUAAGGGUGGAUGGAAACGCCACUAACAAACGCACAUAAGCAAAUAAAGGUACCAAUUAAUAAAACUAUACUAAAACGGUUGAAUUUCAGGAAACGGACAUCAUAAACGGAUUUAGGACGUCAAAAAAUAUAAGGGGGGACCUCGGGUACCCUCAUGCGCCGCCGCCACCGGACGGCCACACGCAGAGUUGGGUCGCCGGAAAAGUCACCGGCAGUCAUUCAAAAUUUACCAGUCACAAUAAGAGCUUAACUAUACCUUGAUUAUAGUCAUCAAUCCAGCCAAAACACCUAUGCCAUCACUUUUCAGGCCCAGAUUCUGCACUAUACUAUAACCAUGUGUUGUAAGUAUUGUGUGUAGAUAUGUAGAAUCUAAUUACAUAAAAUAUGUAGAAUCUAAUUACAUAACAUAUGUAGAAUCUCCACAUCAGUGUUUUCUAAGAAUUUGAAAGUGCAACAAUAAGAAAAGACAUACUUGUUUGUACAAAUAACACGAAGGGAAAAAAAAAGGGAGAAACAAACGAAGUUGGAAGGGUAAAAACAACAUCAUAAGCAUUUAACCCUUUAUCAUCUCGAUAAGCACCUUUAGCAUACAACGUUACUACAGCUUGAAUUUGAAUGAAGACCCCAACAAAAUUGUAUUUCUAAAACCUGGUCUCAACCUGAAAUGUCAAACAACACCAAAUCAUGAGCCAACAAUGCCACAAUUCACAAUAUUUAUUAUGGUCCAGAAUGAUUACCAAAACAAAAAACAAACCAUUUUUUCACGGUUCUUGGAAGGAUUAAGAGGCGGGUCUGUGAGUGAAAUCUGACACUCAGUAGGAUGUAUCUGUUGACACAAAGUACACAACAGAGUAUUGUUAUGAAACUAUAUAUAACAUCGAAAUUCACAAUCAAGGCCAACAAGGGUUUACCUUUACCUCACUGUAAAAUGCAAGUAUAACCGAAGGAAACAAAAUAUAGGAAACUUUACUAAAAAACUUCUAGUACUGUACAUUUUAAUGAAAAAUCACAUUUUUAUACUAAAAAGUCAAUCUUGAUGCUAUUUACUUUACCCUUAAAACUUAAAGUUUUCAAGUUAUUUUCAUUAGUUUUCCUUAAAAUAUAUGGAUAUGUAGACAAAGUUUUCCCUUGUGCCUGUUUCCACCUACUUGGAAAAUACUGCAGAAGCUGUAAUUCAUAAAAUUCAUAAGAUAAUACUCAGAAAUCAAAUACAAAAUAUCAUCUCUUUGAGGUUAUUUCUCCUAGUAAUACAAUAAAUACAAAACCCUGUACCGAUCAAACAAAUAAAAAUUAAAAAUAAAAUGAAAAACCAAAAGUGUGUACCUCGGGAUUAAAUCGGUGGGGGUUUGGAGAGGAUAGAUAGUUAGAUGGGAGGAACUCGUGACAGGAGGCACGGCUGGCAGUGGCCGCGGCGGAGAGAGAGAGAGUAGACGAUUACAAAGAAGGGUGCGAUGUGUGGAUGGUUUUGCUUUGCUUUCUUUCUUAAAGAGAGAGAGAGAGAGAGAGCGCUGAUUGAGGUAGUAAUUAGAAGAAAAGUAAAUAUUUUUAUGGUUAAACAUGUGAUUUAUAACUUACUCCUUAAUAGUUAUCUUGCACCAGAGAAUUUCUGUCUCAAUUCGUACACAAAAGUAUUUAUUCGUCUUCUGGGCACGGAGCUUUAACUGAACACUAAAAAGAGAGGUGGUUUGGAAGUUGUCAGGUACCAUGAAAGAUUCACCUUUGCUUGCAUAUUCUGAACAAUUUGUACUCUCAGCUCCACCAUCCAGUUUCCUGUUA